rnacentral:lncRNA from 1 species
AUAGCAAAACAACUUUUUCCCAAUUGAAACUUUUGUUUUCUAUAAUUAACAUUGCUAACUUGCAAUACUUAUCAUAAUUAUCAUGCUCCCACUAACAUGAUGAUUAUUAGCAUAACACUUAUGCUCCCACUAGCUUUGACAUGUACUCAGAAAUCAGCUGGACUUCUAGAAAUCAAUACUUCAUUGACUUUCUUACCAAAGUUCAGAUUUCUGAUGCUAGAUUGUUUUGAUAAAACUUUAUCAAAAUCAUACACCUUCCCUUAGAUAGCACACUUGUGUGUCUAAACAAUUAUGAAGAGGUAUGCCGUAAUCAUAAUGGUUAGACCUUUUUGCCACUUCUCACAAGUCCAGGUUAGUGUGCCGGUAAACCACACACGCUCCACUAACGACUUUGAGAAUGCAAAUAUCACAAUUGCUAUCUAGCUAAAAUCUACUUAGUGAAAGUGUUUCCUCACCAUCAUUUUCAUGAAUCGGAGAGAAACCUUAUGACACUUAGAUUUAAUGGUGUAUGUGUUCUUAUCCAUGUGAAUUGUCAAAACCAUAGUCACAAGACAAGGAUAAUGACAAAUCCAAACUCAUAUGGACUGAACUCAAUCUUAAUUUCUUGCCACCUGGCAGCUCAAGGGCCUGCCAUUGCUUCCAAGUUGUUGUGCAACAAAUUGAGAACUCUAAGAACUCAUAUGCAAAGCCAACUUUAACUGGAAUGGGCACAGAAUAUGUCAACACGAUAGGUUAUGAACCUCAAGUCGUGUGCUAGUGAAGAACUUCAGGUUUUAUUCUUGAUUAGUUCUUGAGACUUUCAAGACCUUUAAGACUCCCACUGUCCUCUUGACAUAUAAGACUCCCUUGUCAAACAUCCAAGAGAUAGUGCGGAUUCUAAUCAAGAAAAACACUUUACCCAAUUGGCCUAAGUUGGUCUUUGUUUUAUCCAAAACAUCACAACUUACCAAUUUCAAAUGUACAAGAGUAGAAAACUUUUACUCUUACAUUUGACAAGUGUUUUAAACCUUCUUUAAGACAUGUCACUCAAAUGACAAUCUUGGAGUAUGACUCUAAGACUUGUAUUGGAACGAAGUAUGACUCAUCUUCUUGAUUUAACCAUUUCAACAAUUCAAGUUCCUCUUCUUAGUCAUAAGAAUGCACUAAGAUUUCCUUAGAGAACUAAUUUUGAUAUGGUUUCUUAAUCAUUAAGAUGAUCACAAAACUGAUACUAAAGUACUCUCCCAUCUUUUCAGAUUUGAGAAACUUUUAUCCUUCUGCCUUAUUUGAUUCUUCUUAUCGAUCUUUAGUGGUGGACUUAAUCAGUGCACAAGAAUGUGUACUCGAUCCCUAAGUCCUUUACUUGACUCACACAUCCAUGUGAACAAGUAAUUAGUCUUAAUUUUCCAAAACUUGAAAGUUCUCAUUCAUCAUGCUAUACAACUUGCAUGAUUCCAAGUUCCGGUCCAAUUGAAACUUGGGUGAUGAGAAUCUUUCCUUAUUUGGUAAAUUUAGACAUUACCACAAAUGAAAGAAUCAAUUUCAUACUUCCACUCUUGCUACUAAUGGAAUCUUAUAAGCAACAAAAAUUUCCACAGAUGCCAUUGUAAGGAUAUUUUAAAAUAAAUAAAAUCAAAAAUUUCCUUUUAUUUUAAAACUUUGCGGAAAAACUAUCCUUACAAUCCAUAUGAAAACUUGUUGUUAUCUAUUCCUAAGCAAUAUCUCAUAACUCCUAAGAAGUAGCUCAAGAAUCCGAUUUUUCAAACUAUGCGAUAGAAAUCCAUCUAUGCGAUCAGAUUCAGCAUAUUCUUCCUUUAAGUUUCUUCACUUUCCUUUGAUUCUUAAACCAUCACCAUGCGACCCGGUCACAUCAUGUAUCAAGAAUCUCAGAAUAGAAACUUAACAGAGUUAGAUAGUGGAUUUUACCUGAAGUAGAGUCAAACUUAUUGACUUUAACAUCCUUAGGUAAAUUUGGCAGCUUCGCAACCAAUGCCCUUUCUUUGGCAAUACAAACAUAUGGACCCUUUGAUAAUGGUACACAGGACUAUCACAGACUUAGCUUUUCUCUUUACCAUUUGGUCAACCGAGUUGACUAUAGCCGAUCCCUUUCCAUUGGGAAGAGAAUGCUUUACUGGAUAUCCAAUGUCAUCAUUGUCAAUGUCCAUAAAGUUUUAGGAAGUUGAUCUUAACAAAUAGAUAAGAUCAUUAAGGGUCUUGUCAUAGUCUUUUUCAUAGGUGUUCCAAAAGAACUCACUAUGUGACUUAGAAAGUAGUUGAACCACCAACUUUCUCAAGACUUUGACACCCAACUCUCCCGGCUUGUCAAUAUGUGACUACAUCUCCAAGAUGUGACCACACCUAGACCUUGCCUUGCCAAAAGGGCCUGAGUGACCUUAAACUUUUCAAGAACUUGUGGGUUAGGGAGAAUAAUUUGAAGAGGUGAAGAAGUAUGAUAUCCAUGGGACAUCAUCUUCAUUAGGAAACCUUGUUUCAAGAGAUUUGGGAAGAUCAUAGGUGUCUAAACCAGACAUCUUUUGGGAGAUAUUCAAGAUAGUUGAUUUAAAGUCCUUAAUAUGACACCCAAUAUGAAAUAUUAAGGCUAGGACCCAACAAACUAUUUUAUAACUUAGAAGAGGUAUGCCGUAAUCCAAGCUAUAAAAUAUUUGAAGGUAGGUGAAUGACGAUUCACCAAUUUCCACCAAGAUAAACGAAAUGUAUUAUUAGGUUUUAAUUGGUUUUGAAACUCCUAGAUCUUUGAGAUUCAUUGAACUUUUCAAAGGCAUGUUUCAAUCUCGAGUGUGCCCUUCAGGUUUUGUGACUGGGAUGCCGAGGAUCACAAAACAAGGUGUGAAGUAACCAUGCAAAUCACUUGGUACCCUUAAUAAAUUACCCCUCAAUCGAUGUGCCGGUUAACCACACACGCUCCAUCGAUACUAUGAUAAAUAUUAAGUCACCCUUUACCUACCUUGUUAAGUCCAAGUUAGUGUGCCGGUUAACCACACACGCUCCACUAACGACUUAGACAAAGUGUAAAGUGUAAUUUCAUGGAUUAGCACCUUAUUCACAUUUUUCCUAAGUAACUAAGAUUGGGUAUUAUUAAGAGUUUAGUUACUUAGUAUUAUCAUUAAUACUUUUAAUGAAGGGAGAAUUCUAGUCCUGUCAAACCCGUUCGGCUAACGACCCUCCACCAGUCAAGCAAGCGGUGGGUGAGAGUGGACACCCAUUAAGUUGCCAUUUUAUAGGCAACAACCUUAUACCCACCUUAUAGACCGGCUUCGUGAAUGAGGCGUACUAGCGGUAAGACUGACUUUACUCUUAUACAUAUAUAUAUUAUUAACUUAUAAUAUUAUAAAGUAUAAGGGUUGAAUUUUAACUUUUAAAAUUCUAAGGGCUAACUUGGAAUUAAAGUAUUCAUAAGUGAAAACUUUACAAAUUCCAAAACUUGAGGGCAAGUUUUGAAACUAUUCAAAACUAAUUAAUUCCAUAACUUAUGUGUUUAAAGUAGUUUUAAUCCAAAAACUCUUCAAGUUCCAUAACUUGAGGACAAGUUAUGGAAGACUUUAAACUAAUAAAAGAAUUAACUUUUCUUUAUUUUAUAACUUAUGGAAUUAAUUAAGGUUACACUUUUUUUUUUUUUAUUUUAUUUUAUUAAAUGAAGAGACUCUUGGUCCUCCAUAACUUGAGGACAAGUUAUGGAGUCAUAAAACCAUUUAAUUAGAACUAGACUCUUCAUUUUUGUAACCUUUGCCAAUUUUUAUGAGUUUUAUGAUUCUUAAAUGUGACUUUUCAUAUAACUUGAGGACAAGUUACAAAAACACAUUUUAGAAUCAAUUCUUAGAUUAAUUUGGAUUAAAACCAACUAUCACAUAAUUUUAUUCAUUAAUCUAAAUUCACUCAUAAAACAAGGUAACACAAAAAACUUUUGGUGAUCCAUAACUUAUUCUUAAGUUAUGGAAUCCUUUAAAACAUUAACACCAAAUUUUGUAACUCCAAAAAAACUUUGAAUCAAUUUUUUUUUUAAAACCUUUUCAUAUCCAUAACUUAUGGAGGUUUCAAAAAAUAAAACUCUUUAGAUCAAACUUUUAAAACUAAUAAAAUAAUCAUAUUAUUUUAUCUUUUAUUAAAUUUGACCUAAUUCAACUCAUAAAGCAAAUUAUUCAAAUUUUACAAAUAAUUAGUUUUUCACAAGAACAAGUAAUUAUCUUAAAAUUUGACAAACUUCAUGUUUUUUUUUUUUUUUUUUUUCAACUUUGAAAAUAAAAUAUUUGCAUCAAUAUAACAGAAAACAACCCGUGGCUCUGAUACCACUGUUGGGUUUUGAGCAUUCUAACACUUCCUAAGUGUACAUGCAACCCUAAAUACCUUGGAUCUAUGUUUUCUCUAUUAUACAUGCAAAUAAGAACUUCCAAGGUAUUAUCCUAAUCUAGCAUACAAAACAAUAACUAUAGCAAGAUAGAAUACAUACCUCUUUGGUGUAGAAAGUCUUCAUGAAGCUUGAGUGCCUAGUGCCCCAAGUGUGACACCUCAAAUGGAAUCACAAUCAUCAAAACACUUAGAAUGACUUGAGAGAAUUCUACACUCAUCAAAAUCGGCUAGCCCUUUCUUCACUAUCUCUAGUGGCCGAUUUUUCCUCAAUAAUAAGAUGCUUAUAUAGUUACACAAUUAGGGUAAACUCUUAAUUGUCAUGGCUUUCCAUUUCCUUGGAUCCAUGGGUACAAAUACACCAUGGAGCAUCCAUGGACCAUCCUAUGGGUUUUAGCCCAACUUGAUUAUCCAUGGAGCAUUAGCCCACUAUACAAGUAUGGAUGAUUUACACAAUCAACCCAUAUAUUUAAUUAGUCUUCUUUUGAUCACUUAAUUAAUCCUAGAUUAAUUCUUGAUCAAUACUAAUUAAAUAAUCUCAUUAUUCUUAUUAUUAAUAUACUAGAACUUAUAAUAUAUUAAUAACCAUAAGUGUCUUAUUUCUCUCAUUUAGUCUAUCCAAGUGCAUGAUGGUAUGCAACCCAAAUGGACCAUGCCGGGUCGGGUCAAGUCUUACCAAUUAUAGUUAUGGACUUGGACAUUAAUCCAACAGCCCUAACCUUUGUUGGGCACGUAUUGAGGGAGUAAUCCCUGAAUCAAUACUGUCUAUGUGAUGUAGGCGAUGAUCCUUAGGGAUAGUCCUUAGGAACAAACAUAUAAGGAAAUGCGAUGUAAGGAGAUGAGAGGUAAAUAUGAUAUAGGAGAUGACCCUUAGGAUAAAUCCUUAGGGAAGGUACUUAGGAAUAAAGAAGAUAAUGGGGAUGGGUAAUUGGGUUAAUUGUUUGAUGAUUAAACAUAAUAAUUAUAUUAUUAUAGGUUGAAAACCCUAUGUACUCACCAGGUUUCCCAACUUGGCCCACUCAGUUUACUUGUAUCACAGGCGACGAGGUGAAGUUACAUUACACUGAGAGAUUAAGGAGAUGUAAAUCACUAGUGAUAAUGAAUGUAAGUUCUGUUUAUGCUUAUGUUUAUGUAUUGACGAUGACAUCACAAAUGUUUUAAAAUGAAUAAAAAUACAUUUCCUCGGAAAUGCUAUGAUAACGUAUUUAUCAUGUUUUACUGAGAACAAAUUCCGCAACCUUUUGAUUAAAAGAGAUACUCUGAUUUUUAUAAAGCAUAAACAAAAUCGGUCUUUUCUGGCUGUGAAAAUGGGGAUGUCACAUUUGCAGUUCUCACGACGGGAGAACUAUAAUCUCAUGACGUGAGAUUGAUUAUUCUAAAAGAUAAUUAUGUAGAGAUCAACUUUCCUUGUUGAAUACGGAGUUCUACUGAUCUCACGACGUGAUACCCUAAUUCACACGACGUGAGAUGUGAUUUAAGGAAAGUAUAAAUAAUCCUUUACAUAUUCGAUUUUAGAGAGUUAGAUUAGAUAUUAUGGUUAGAUAAUCGAGUUUAGAGGUCAGAUAAGUGCUAAAAACAUCUAUUGGAAGAGGAUAUCGUUUGAAGAUUGUAGAUUUGAAGAUCACACAUCAUAUCCGGGUUGCAUUGAUUUAAUCAUGUCUAAUUCUUAUGUUUUGUGUGCUUAUUUUAUGCCAUGAGUAGCUAAAUCAUUAGGCUUUCAUUUAGUAUAGAUGAACCCUAAUACUAUAAGUUAGUUUCUUAUUUAUCUAUGGAUUUUAUGAAGUUGGUUCAUGAUUGUGUUUGAUUAUCAUUACCUAAAAUGUUAAAGUCUACAUAUUUGUUGCUUUGAUUCAAGUUAAGUGUAAUUUAAUGACCAUUUGAAUUGCAUGCACUUGUUUCCAUAGUAGUUUAUGAUUAUUAAAUUGCUAGAGCUAGGAUUAAUCAAAUCUUAGAUUAGGUAAUAAAGGUAACAACUUUAGCUGUGUUAGAGAACAUAAUUUGAUCAUGAUUGUGUUUAAUUAAUUGUCUUCAUCAUAGAUAAUUAUCUUAGAUAUACCUUAUGUAACCAAAUUAUAUUUAAUAAUCAAUUUUGUGUUUGCUUGUGUAUGAUCAUUACAUAGUAGUUCAUGAAUUGGUGAAAAUAUUAGGAGAUCGGAUCAAGACUGCUAAUUACAUUAAUAUUGGUAACCAACUAAAUAAAUCCAUGAUUAAGAACUAACUAUAGGAAAAAAAGGGGGAUUCGAAGCUAAAUGGAAGUGUCUUCUUAAUCUUGUUUACAAUCAUUUUUAUUUCAGUAACUGAUUUACUUAAGUUAAUCUAAACUUCCAAAAUCAGAUAAAUCCCUUUUUAGUUAUUGUUUUUAUAUUAAUUUUUAGUAAUUAAAUUGUUAGCUAAAUACAUUCCCUAUGUCCGAUACCCAACUUACUUUACUAUACUAAAAACUAACUAGGUACACUGCCUAUAGGUGCAUUAGUAGAUAAGUAGUUAGGUUUAUAAGUUUAAAACUAGAUAGAUAUAUCUUUUGCACAUCAAGUUUUUGGCGUCGUUUCUGGGAAAACGUCUAUUUUAGUUUUUAAUUUAACUAUUUUAGGUUAAUCGAUCAUUUUUGUGGUGUAAAAACCGCAAAAAGUUAGUUUUCUGCAAAUAGUUAUUUUUUUGUUCGUUCGAUUCUCUCAACAUGAGGGACAUCUCUCACGAUGUGAGUUCAGUAGUUUUUAGUUUUUCCUUUUUUUGCUUUUAAUUUGUUUUUAGUUUUUGUUCCUUUUACGCGUGUUUUUCUAGUUUUUUUUAGUAGGAAAUAUGGGGGACAUAACGACAAUGACAAUGGAAGUGUACAAGCGGCAUAUGAGGAACGAAAACAAAUGGGGUCUUGAUCCACCAAAAAUCCCAACCACGAAAAAGUUUGAACUUCCGAGGCACAUUCUUGGCAUGCUGAAGGAACUACCUUUUUACUGGAAGGAGCACGAGGACUGAAGGGUCUAGGUAAUGGUUUGGUCUAGGCUUUCAUUGUAAUAAGUUAUUUUGAGUCUGUAUGCAGUUUUGGUAGGUUGGUUGGUAGUUUAAGUCCAAGUAGUGAGUUUACGGCUGUAAGCCUGUUUACGGCUGUAAACCCAGUGUCCGGGCCAAGUCCACUAUAUAUAGGGGUUAAGUAGGUCAUUAAUGGUUGUUGAUGCCACAAUGGUUCACGAUCAUAGGAGCAAGUUGUACCAGACAUUUUAUGCAAUAUAAGUGUGUGCAAGCUUGUUUCAAUUCUGUUUCUUCUUUGUUUCUCAUUAUAUUUGAUUGUGUGAUUGGUUGAUCAUUGGUAAAGAUCCUUUUUCUGGACCUUACAAUUGGUAUCAAAGCAGGAACCGGUGUCAAAGCAUCAUUCAAUCGAGUUUUCAGCCGUUUAAACUCAUAUUCUUUAGUGUUCGAGAUUAGGGUUUCGUGUUUUCAUAGCAAAGGGGGUCAAAUCUGCAUCGAACUUGCGUUUUCUGAGAUUUUUGGGAGUUUACUGCCAAAAGAUUACGACCGAAAACCUUGUUUACGGCCGUAAACUCAAGCACAUUCAAGAGGCAUAAAGUGUGUUCUUGAACCGUAAUCAGUGCUUCUUAAAUAACCGUAAUCAGUGCUUAUUAAAUAACCGUAAACUGCCUCACCGUAAAGACCCCAACCGUAAACACCGUUUACAGCCGUAAACACACUGACUGUAAACUCAAUCUUAGACAAUUUUUAUUUUUCUAAUUUUUAUGUUUUAAAAAUCAGAAUAAAUGGAUUCUCAAAGUCAAACACAUCAUCAUGAGUUGGAUUCUGUCAUGGGAACCACUACACGCAUUCCAAGACUGUUGUCUGCAGAUGGUUUUCCUUAAUUUCGAUACUGGAUAGAAAAGUACAUUAAAAUGAAGGACUUCAAGAUUUGGAGAAGCAUCAUCAACAAUCCCGUCAGAAUAACCACAGCUGUUGCAGGGCAAGUAGUUGACAAAGCUGUUGAAAAUUACACAGAUGAAGAUUUUGAGAAAGUGGAAGAACAGGAAAGGGCUCUGGCCACUCUAACCAUGGCACUAUCUCCUGAUAUAGCUCAAGGUUUCAGAGAGUAUACUUCAGCAAAAGCUUUGUGGGAAGCUUUGAGUGAGGUAUAUGAGGGUAAUGAGGACAUGAAGGAAAGCCGCCAAGAUAUGUUGCGACAAAGGUUUACACAUGUUCAACGACAUUCCUGGAGAAACCCUGGAGGCACAAAUGUAGCGAUUCACAACUCUCACCACUGAGAUGACUAUAGUUGGGAUCUUCUUGACCAAGUCUGAAGUAAAUAAAAAGCUACUGAAUGCUCUCCCAAGUUCAUGGGACAUGAAUGUGGUUGUCAUCAAGAAGACCAAGGAUCUAAAUUGCCUUACUCCUACUGGAAUGAUGGCGAUCAUCAAGGCUUGUGAUAUUGAUGAUAAACAGCGGGAGAUAAAUCAUGUGAAUUCGUAUUCAACUGCAAACCUUGGGAUUUCAUCUAACAAUGCUCUUUCAUCUCUCACAUUUCCCUCUUCAGGUCAACCUUUUGCUUCUCAGAAAGCUCAGACUCAAUCCUUUUCCACUUCAUCAGCUACUUCACUUCCUGCUACAUCAUCCAUGCCUUUCUCUCAGAACCAAUCAUUUGUUGCUUCUCAAGUUGCUUCUUCCUCAAAUGUGGCUUCUUCCUUAAAUGCUAAGGAGUGUGAUGAAAAUCGUGCUCUCGCCAUAGGACUUGUUAACUGCUACAAUGCUCUUGUAGCUGGAGAUCUUUCACCACAAUUUUCAUUUGCUGAUCUGGAUCAGAUUCAUCCAGAAGAUGUGGAAGAAAUGAAUAUUAAAUGGCAAAUUGCCAUGGUAGUGUUCAGGGCAAAGCGGAUUGCGAAGAAGACAGGGAAGAAUAACUGGGGGAUGAGCGUUGACAAAAAAGGUAGGGUUUAACAAAGGGAAGUUGUGUUGUUUCAACUGUCACGAGCCAGGUCAAUUUGCUAGUGAGUGCCCGAAGUCGGAUAGUGUUGGAUUAAUGUCUAAGUCCAUAACUAUAAUUGGUAAGACUUGACCCGACCCGGCAUGGUCCAUUUGGGUUGCAUACCAUCAUGCACUUGGAUAAACUAAAUGAGAGAAAUAAGACAUUUAUGGUUAUUAAUAUAUUAUAAGUUCUAGUAUAUUAAUAAUAAGAAUAAUGAGAUUAUUUAAUUAGUAUUGAUCAAGAAUUAAUCUAGGAUUAAUUAAGUGAUCAAAAGAAGACUAAUUAAAUAUAUGGGUUGAUUGUGUAAAUCAUCCAUACUUGUAUAGUAGGCUAAUGCUCCAUGGAUAAUCAAGUUGGGCUAAAACCCAUAGGAUGGUCCAUGGUGUAUUUGUACCCAUGGAUCCAAGGAAAUGGAAAGCCAUGACAAUUAAGAGUUUACCCUAAUUGUAACACUAUAUAAAGAUAUUAUUCUUGGCAAAAUCGGCCACUAGUAUUAUUCUAGAGAGGGCUAGCCGAUUUCAUGAAGUGUAGAAUUCUCUCAAGCUAUUCUAAGUGUUUUGAUGAUUGUGAUUCCAUUUGAGGUGUCACACUUGGGGCACUAGGCACUCAAGCUUCAUGAAGACUUUCUACAUCAAGAGGUAUGUAUUCUAUCUUGUUAAGUUAUUGUUUUGUAUGCUAGAUUAGGAUAAUACCUUGGAAGUUCUUAUUUGCAUGUAUAAUAGAGAAAACAUAGAUCCAAGGUAUUUAGGGUUGCAUGUACACUUAGGAAGUGUUAGAAUGCUCAAAACCCAACAGUGGUAUCAGAGCCACGGGUUGUUUUCUGUUAUAUUGAUGCAAAUAUUUUAUUUUCAAAGUUGAAAAAAAAAAAAAAAAAAAACAUGAAGUUUGUCAAAUUUUAAGAUAAUUACUUGUUCUUGUGAAAAACUAAUUAUUUGUAAAAUUUGAAUAAUUUGCUUUAUGAGUUGAAUUAGGUCAAAUUUAAUAAAAGAUAAAAUAAUAUGAUUAUUUUAUUAGUUUUAAAAGUUUGAUCUAAAGAGUUUUAUUUUUUGAAACCUCCAUAAGUUAUGGAUAUGAAAAGGUUUUAAAAAAAAAAUUGAUUCAAAGUUUUUUUGGAGUUACAAAAUUUGGUGUUAAUGUUUUAAAGGAUUCCAUAACUUAAGAAUAAGUUAUGGAUCACCAAAAGUUUUUUGUGUUACCUUGUUUUAUGAGUGAAUUUAGAUUAAUGAAUAAAAUUAUGUGAUAGUUGGUUUUAAUCCAAAUUAAUCUAAGAAUUGAUUCUAAAAUGUGUUUUUGUAACUUGUCCUCAAGUUAUAUGAAAAGUCACAUUUAAGAAUCAUAAAACUCAUAAAAAUUGGCAAAGGUUACAAAAAUGAAGAGUCUAGUUCUAAUUAAAUGGUUUUAUGACUCCAUAACUUGUCCUCAAGUUAUGGAGGACCAAGAGUCUCUUCAUUUAAUAAAAUAAAAUAAAAAAAAAAAAAGUGUAACCUUAAUUAAUUCCAUAAGUUAUAAAAUAAAGAAAAGUUAAUUCUUUUAUUAGUUUAAAGUCUUCCAUAACUUGUCCUCAAGUUAUGGAACUUGAAGAGUUUUUGGAUUAAAACUACUUUAAACACAUAAGUUAUGGAAUUAAUUAGUUUUGAAUAGUUUCAAAACUUGCCCUCAAGUUUUGGAAUUUGUAAAGUUUUCACUUAUGAAUACUUUAAUUCCAAGUUAGCCCUUAGAAUUUUAAAAGUUAAAAUUCAACCCUUAUACUUUAUAAUAUUAUAAGUUAAUAAUAUAUAUAUGUAUAAGAGUAAAGUCAGUCUUACCGCUAGUACGCCUCAUUCACGAAGCCGGUCUAUAAGGUGGGUAUAAGGUUGUUGCCUAUAAAAUGGCAACUUAAUGGGUGUCCACUCUCACCCACCGCUUGCUUGACUGGUGGAGGGUCGUUAGCCGAACGGGUUUGACAGGACUAGAAUUCUCCCUUCAUUAAAAGUAUUAAUGAUAAUACUAAGUAACUAAACUCUUAAUAAUACCCAAUCUUAGUUACUUAGGAAAAAUGUGAAUAAGGUGCUAAUCCAUGAAAUUACACUUUACACUUUGUCUAAGUCGUUAGUGGAGCGUGUGUGGUUAACCGGCACACUAACUUGGACUUAACAAGGUAGGUAAAGGGUGACUUAAUAUUUAUCAUAGUAUCGAUGGAGCGUGUGUGGUUAACCGGCACAUCGAUUGAGGGGUAAUUUAUUAAGGGUACCAAGUGAUUUGCAUGGUUACUUCACACCUUGUUUUGUGAUCCUCGGCAUCCCAGUCACAAAACCUGAAGGGCACACUCGAGAUUGAAACAUGCCUUUGAACAGUUCAAUGAAUCUCAAAGAUCUAGGAGUUUCAAAACCAAUUAAAACCUAAUAAUACAUUUCGUUUAUCUUGGUGGAAAUUGGUGAAUCGUCAUUCACCUACCUUCAAAUAUUUUAUAGCUUGGAUUACGGCAUACCUCUUCUAAGUUAUAAAAUAGUUUGUUGGGUCCUAGCCUUAAUAUUUCAUAUUGGGUGUCAUAUUAAGGACUUUAAAUCAACUAUCUUGAAUAUCUCCCAAAAGAUGUCUGGUUUAGACACCUAUGAUCUUCCCAAAUCUCUUGAAACAAGGUUUCCUAAUGAAGAUGAUGUCCCAUGGAUAUCAUACUUCUUUCUCCUCCUCCAAUUAUUCUCCCUAACCCACAAGUUCUUGAAAAGUUUAAGGUCACUCAAGCCCUAUUGGCAAGGCAAGGUCUAGGUGUGAUCACAUCUUGGAGAUGUAGUCACAUAUUGACAAGCCGGGAGAGUUGGGUGUCAAAGUCUUGAGAAAGUUGGUGGUUCAAUCACUUUCUAAGUCACAUAGUGAGUUCCUUUGGGACACCUAUGAAACAGACUAUGACAAGACCCUUAAUGAUCUUAUCUAUUUGCUAAGAUCAACUUCCUAAAACUUUAUGGACAUUGACAAUGAUGACAUUGGAUAUCCAGUAAAGCAUUCUCUUCCCAAUGGAAAGGGAUCGGCCAUAGUCAACUCGGUUGACCAAAUGGUAAAGAGAAAAGCUAAGUCUGUGAUAGUCUCGUGUACCAUUAUCAAAGGGUCCAUAUGUUUAUAUUGCCAAAGGAAGGGGCAUUGGUUGCGAAGCUGCCAAAUUUACCUAAGGAUGUUAAAGUCAAUAAGUUUGACUCUACUUCAGGUAAAGUCCACUAUCUAACUCUGUUAAGUUUCUAUUCUGAGAUUCCUGAUACAUGAUGUGACUGGGUCACAUGGUGAUGUUUUAAGAAUCAAAGAAAAGUGAAGAAACUUAAAGAAAGAAUAUGCUGAAUCUGAUGGCGUAGAUGGAUUUCUAUCGCAUAGUUUGAAGAUCGGAUUCUUGAGCAACUUCUUAGGAGUUAUGAGAUAUUGCUUAGGAAUAGAUAACAACAAGUUUUCAUAUGGAUUGUAAGGAUAAGUUUUUCCGCAAAGUUUUAAAAUAAAAGAAAAUUUUUGAUUUUAUUUAUUUUAAAAUAUCCUUACAAUGGCAUUUGAGGAAAAAUUGUUGCUUAUAUGAUUCCAUUAAUAGCAAGAGUGGAAAUAUGAAAUUGAUUCUUUCAUUUGUGGUAAUGUCUAGAUUUACCAAAUAAGGAAAGAUUCUCAUCACCCAAGUUUCAAUUGGACCGGAACUUGGAAUCAUGCAAGUUGUAUAGCAUGAUGAAUGAGAACUUUCAAGUUUUGGAAAAUUAAGACUAAUUACUCGGCCACAUGGAUGUGUGAGUCAAGUAAAGGACUAAGGGAUCGAGUACACAUUCUUGUGCACUGAUUAAGUCCACCACAAAAGAUUGAUAAGACUAUUCGUCAUAGUUUACUAAAGCUCAGUAAAUAUGAUUAUACUUACAAGCUUAAGUGUAACUCUGAGACAUUGGAAAAGGUUCCAAUGUAUGGCAGAGCGAAUAAGAAGAAUCAAAUUAGGCAGAAGGAUAAAAGUUUCUCAAAUCUGAAAAGAUGGGAGAGUACUUUAGUAUCAGUUUUGUGAUCAUCUUAAUGAUUAAGAAACCAUAUCAAAAUUAGUUCUCUAAGGAAAUCUUAGUGCAUUCUUAUGACUAAGAAGAGGAACUUGAAUUGUUGAAAUGGUUAAAUCAAGAAGAUGAGUCAUACUUCGUUCCAAUACAAGUCUUAGAGUCAUACUCCAAGAUUGUAAUUUGAGUGACAUGUCUUAAAGAAGGUUUAAAACACUUGUCAAAUGUAAGAGUAAAAGUUUUCUACUCUUGUACAUUUGAAAUUGGUAAGUUGUGAUGUUUUGGAUAAAACAAAGACCAACUUAGGCCAAUUGUGUGAAGUGUUUGUCUUGAUUAGAAUCCACACUAUCUCUUGGAUAUUUGACAAGGGAGUCUUAUAGGUCAAGAGGUCAGUGGGAGUCUUAAAAGUCUUGAAAGUCUCAAGAACUAAUCAAGAAUAAAACCUAAAGUUCUUCACUAGCACACAACUUGAGGUUCAUAACCUAUCGUGUUGACAUAUUCUGUGCCCAUUCCAGUUAAAGUUGGUUUUGCAUAUGAGUUCUUAGAGUUCUCAAUUUGUUGCACAACAACUUGGAAGCAAUGGUAGGCCCUUGAGCUGCCAGGUGGCAAGAAAUUAAGAUUGAGUUCAGUCCAUAUGAGUUUGGAUUUGUCAUUAUCCUUGUCUUGUGACUAUGGUUUUGACAAUUCACAUGGAUAAGAACACAUACACCAUUAAAUCUAAGUGUCAUAAGGUUUCUCUCCGAUUCAUGAAAAUGAUGGUGAGGAAACACUUUCACUAAGUAGAUUUUAGCUAGAUAGCAAUUGUGAUAUUUGCAUUCUCAAAGUCGUUAGUGGAGCGCGUGUGGUUAACCGGCACACUAAUUUGGACUUGUGAGAAGUGGCAAAAAGGUCUAAACAUUAUGAUUACGGCAUCCCUCUUCAUAAUUGUUUAGAUACACAAGUGUGCUAUCUAAGGGAAGGUGUAUGAUUUUGAUACAGCUUUAUCAAAACAAUCUAGCAUCAGAAAUCUGAACUUUGGUAAGAAAGUCAAUGAAGUAUUGAUUUCUAGAAGUCCAGCUGAUUUCUGAGUACAUGUCAAAGCUAGUGGGAGCAUAAGUGUUAUGCUAAUAAUCAUCAUGUUAGUGGGAGCAUGAUAAUUAUGAUAAGUAUUGCAAGUUAGCAAUGUUAAUUAUAGAAAACAAAAGUUUCAAUUGGGAAAAAGUUGUUUUGCUAUAAUUAAGGGAGAGGAAAUUAUACUUCAUCUCAAAUCUAUAAGCUUAGAUCGUGAGGUUUUAAUCAUUUAGUCAAGGAUAUAUAUGAAUUUCAUGUUGGAAUGGCUCAACAUAAGGAAAUUCUGUAUAUGGGUCCAUUAUUUGCGUUCUAAAAUUCGAUUAUGAUUACGGCAUCCCUUUUCAUAAUCUGAAUUAUGAGAACUUGGCAAAUUGAAAUGGAAAUAUUAUAGCAAAAGACUGGUUUAGUCUUUAUGUAAGACAUCAUGAAUCGUGUCCCAUAUGCUUCGGAUAUAGGAUCGAUUACAUGUGCUAUAUUCAUCCGUUCUAAAAUUUUCCAAAUGCCUGGGGCAUUAAGAAGGGAAAAGGUUUAGAACUGGAUAUGACUAAAAGGAUUAAACAAUUGUCGAGGACAAUCUAAGGUUUACCAAAGAUUGGUUGCUCAAGGACAGUUGGAAGUAUAGUGAUAAUUCUGGAAGGACCAUAUUGACAUAAUCUGUAAGGAGGCAACUCUUGUUCAGAAGUGAUAGUCAAAAUGGAAUCUGGAAAUGUUUCAAAGUUAGAAUUUUCAAUCUGUUUAAGAUUAGGAAACUUAAUGCAAGAAGGAUGUUUCCAAGGAGCUGAUCUCCUUUGGAAUACUCUGUAAUGAUUGUUGUCAAGUCUUUCUGACUUUGUGCAUAAUCAUUACAAGAGGAUCAAUGCAUAUAAGUUUAGAAUCUAACAGAUUUCAGUAAAUGGCAUGAAUUUGGAAUUCUUGCAUUUGCAGUAAGGAUUUGGGAGUGUGAAAAGAGAAUCAUUGAAGUUAUGUUCAAUUGAUCUAGUUCACAAAGUAAAGAUCAUAGACAAACAUAGUAUGCAUACUUGGUGUGUGGCAUGACUAGUGUUUAAGAAAACAUAGUGUACAUGCUUGGAGCAUGGGACAACUAUUGUUUUAAAUUCAAGAAUAAAGUUGAUAGCUGAAACAGUAUACAAUGAAUAAUGUGUAAUCAUAUGGUGAUAAAUAAAAGGUGUUUUAUUUAUGUUCAAAGUUUUGAUACCAUAUUGGAUUCAAUUAUUAUUGUGUUUCACUUUGCAUGUUUUGACUUCCCGAAUAAACUAGGUUAUUCUUCCGGAAUGACUAAGUUAUUCAAACCAUCCACAGUCGGUCAUAUGUUGGAAGUAGAUAUGAAUUAAGACUGUCAUGGGUUGGCUUGUAGAGGUCUAAGGUGUUGGACAAAGGGCUACAACACUCAUGAGUGCUCAUAAGUUCUGAGUAUUGGAUUCAACCCGCGCUCAUUGGAAUCACUUCAUGGAUUUUAUCACGAGUGAUCAUGAGACGAUAAUAUCUUAUAUUCUUCAAACCUAGAGAUAUGAGUUGUUACUAUGAGUUGAUAGUACAUUGAUUGCACGAAAACGCAUUUGGUAACUCGGUGCUAUAAAACGUGCCUUUGUGUAUGAUUCAACAAGUAGUAGAACAAGCCAUAUGAGUCGAAGUUUAUCCGUUCCUUUUACCUUCGGGAUAAAAGCGAUAUCUGUGGGCCCCUCGAUGAUUUGAUGAUGACAAAUGGAAGUGCUCGGCCGGGCCAGGACUGAUUUGAUUUGUUCAAUUAGUCAGUCGUCAUAAAUCGGAAAUCGGGAAACAACAAAUGGACAGAGAGAAUGAUUAUAAUCCAUGUCUCAGUCCAUAUGAUAUCUAGAAUGGAGGAAUAUAUGAUCCCUUAUCUAAUGGACAAGUCAUUGACAAAGGUCAGAGUUCAUCUACAAGGUCAGAGUUCGACAGAAGCUUUUGAGAGCUACGAUUGCCAGUUGGUUCCUGAAGUCAUACGCAAUAAUAGUUUUAGACUUAUCCAAGUGGGAGACUGUUGGAUUAAUGUCUAAGUCCAUAACUAUAAUUGGUAAGACUUGACCCGACCCGGCAUGGUCCAUUUGGGUUGCAUGGCAUCAUGCACUUGGAUAGACUAAAUGAGAGAAAUAAGACACUUAUGGUUAUUAAUAUAUUAUAAGUUCUAGUAUAUUAAUAAUAAGAAUAAUGAGAUUAUUUAAUUAGUAUUGAUCAAGAAUUAAUCUAGGAUUAAUUAAGUGAUCAAAAGAAGACUAAUUAAAUAUAUGGGUUGAUUGUGUAAAUCAUCCAUACUUGUAUAGUGGGCUAAUGCUCCAUGGAUAAUCAAGUUGGGCUAAAACCCAUAGGAUGGUCCAUGGAUGCUCCAUGGUGUAUUUGUACCCAUGGAUCCAAGGAAAUGGAAAGCCAUGACAAUUAAGAGUUUACCCUAAUUGUGUAACUAUAUAAGCAUCUUAUUAUUGAGGAAAAAUCGGCCACUAGUGAUAGUGAAGAAAGGGCUAGCCGAUUUUGAAGAGUGUAGAAUUCUCUCAAAUCAUUCCAAGUGUUUUGAUGAUUGUGAUUCCAUUUGAGGUGUCACACUUGGGGCACUAGGCACUCAAGCUUCAUGAAGACUUUCUACAUCAAAGAGGUAUGUAUUCUAUCUUGCUAUAGUCAUUGUUUUGUAUGCUAGAUUAGGAUAAUACCUUGGAAGUUCUUAUUUGCAUGUAUAAUAGAGAAAACAUAGAUCCAAGGUAUUUAGGGUGGCAUGUACACUUAGGAGUGUUAGAAUGCUCAAAACCCAACAGAUAGAAGAUUAAACAAUGACCGGAAAAUGGUUGCAGUGGGAAACAAACGGGGAGGUGCUCAGGUCAACAAUGAGAAGGCUAUGGUUGCUCAGUCUUUUGACUGGGAGGACCAGAUUCAGGCCCUGAACACUUAAAAACCUGAAAGUGCUCACCUGGCCCAAGAUAAAGAUGAAUCCCCCAUGGAGAGUAUUGCAGUUGAGGAAAAGAUGAUGGAGCUUCAGUUUGCGUUCAUGGUAUCUUCUACUUCUGAAAAAUGAGGUAAGUUUGCCUUCUUUCUCUCAAGCUUGUAUUGAUUAUGUUAAAAUUCUUCGUGAGGAAAUAGAAUCAUUACGUAGAGAAGUAGUGGACCUUAUAUAUGAGGGCUAUCAACUUAGAAAAGGACAAAAACCCUUAAAGGCCCAAUUAGAAACAAAAAUAAAGGACUUUAGGAGACUUUAGGAAGACUACAGUAAUAAAUGUGAAAACUAUGAUUAUAUCAAGAGACAAAAUGUUGAGUUAAUUGUUGAGCUUGAUACAUUAAAAAAAUAUGAUGUAUCAAGCGAGGUAGUCACCAACAUGAUUGACCAUUUCCUGCAGUUUAAACAAAACCAGAAAAACGGUUUGGGAUAUGAUAAUGUACCUCCUCCUUUUAAUCACACAUAUCAGUAUCACCCUUUGACUAAAGAGGAGAUUGCCAACGAACCAUUCAUGGUUUAUGGCAAACCAACAUGUUUUUUUUCAGAAGGAUUUAUUAAUGUUGAAAAUACUAACGUUUCUACUUCCCCUACAGAUCAAUCCUUAAAUCAGUCAAAGCACGAAGUUGAAGGAUCUGUUUCUGAUAAUAAAACUGAGUCUGAACCUGAAGUUUUAGUUUUAAAUAAAGACUUUAUUUUUUCUGAUGUUGAAAGGACAAUGUUUUUAGUGAUUUUUCUGCACCUUCUGAUACUGGUUUGAAUGUUUUUAAAGUGUUUGAUGAGAUGGUUGAUAAUUCUGAUGCUUGUAGUGAUACUAAUAAAAGCUCACCAUUUCCACAAGUCACUCCAUCUGAUACACCCUCACCUAUCUCACAACCUACUUCUUGUUCAUGUUCAUGUGAGAAAAGCAAGGGUGUCAGUAUGGAAAAUAAAUCUGAAAAAGGCAGUACAGGUUUUAACAAUAACAAAUAUAUUUGUAUCAAUUGUGGUAUUGGUGGUCAUAUAGCUAGGAAUUAUCCUAAUAUAAUGUUUGUACAUUAUACGUCACAAAGAGGAGAGAACGAAUUUAGAGGAAGGUCUUUAACUAGAAAGUCCUCUAGAGCUCAUUCUCGGAAUGAUGAUUGGAGGAUGAUCGUAGUAGAAAACGGGCAGUUUUUCAAAAUAACAAAAAGGUAUUUCAUAACAAAGUCCCAAACAGUUUGCCAAAAUCGAACAUGGCUCCGCCAAGAUCGGUUUUGUCAAUGAGUAGCUAUGGGUCUUCAAUCAUUUAAGGUAGAAAACCCAAGUGCUCAAAGCAAACUGAUAAGAAUCCUAUUUCAAAACCAUUAGUGACUGUUAGAAAACCUAAUUACCAAUGGAUGCCCAAAAUAAGUUCCAAUCCAUCAUCAGUAUCCUCUAAAAAAUUAGUAAAUAAUGAUAAAUCUGAAAAAGCAAAGGGUCAACCCAGGAAAGUGAUGACCUGGGUUCCCAAAUCUAAAUGAUCCCGCACAUUUUGCAGGGACAGUUAUGGGGGAAUGUCAUCAGACCUUGGUUCGUCGACAGCGGCUGCUCCCCGCAUAUGACAUGAGAUAUCUCCCAACUGAACAACAUUCAAUCAUUUAAUGGGGGGCUAUGUUUCCUUUGUAGGUGGAGAAGGUGGCAAGAUCACUCAGAGAGGAACCGUUACAAAUGGAGUUUUAAGUUUCGAGAAUGUCAACUUUGCUCCCGAGUGAAAGCAUAGUUUGUUGAGUGUGUCUCAGAUAUGCGACAAGGCUAUUCUAUGCAUUUCACUGACAAGGAAUGUAUGAUUGUCAAGCCAGUCAUUGUCAUCCUGGAGGAAUGGAUUCUUGUCAAAUCUAUGAGGGAUGGAAAUGCUUACAUUAUUGAUAUGAAUAGCAACCUUCUAGAACAAGUUACUUGCUUCUUUUCAAAGAUCUCAGAACAAAAUGCAAUGUAGUGGCACCGAAGACUCGGUCAUGCUAACGCCAAAAACCUAAAUCUUCUUGCAAAGAAUGAGAUGGUUCGUGGUUUACCUAUCAGAAAUUUUAUAACGUUUGAGAAGUGUGUGUCAUGUGCCCAAGGUGAACAUCAUAGAAAACCACACCUAACAAAACAGGUUAACUCAAUCAAUCAGGUGCUCCAAUUAUUACAUGUGGACUUGUUCGGUCCAGUGAACGUCCUAAGCAUUAACAAAGUUCGUACUUUCUGGUUGUGAUUAAUGAUUUCUCUCGUUUUAAGUGGGUCUUCUUCUUAUCCAACAAAGUUAGGGUUGUAGAACUGAUAAAGAAGUUCAUAGUGCUGAUUGAGAACCAAACCAAUAAUCGGGUGAAGGAGCUUCGUACCAACAACGGAAGAGAGUUCAAGAAUUCUAUUCUAGAUCAUUUUUGCAUAGAAAAGGGGAUUAUGCGUCAAUACAGCUCCACUCAUACACCUCAACAAAAUGGUGUUGCUGAAAGGAGAAAUAGAACUUUAAAAGACGCUGCAAGGACGAUGUUGUGUGACUCCAAGUUACCGGUUUUCUUUUGGGCCGAGGCGAUUAACACUACUUGCUACGUUCAGAAUCGUGUGUCGAUCAACAAAGCUCAAAUGAAGACACAAUAUGAGAUUCUAUAUGGUCACAAGCCAUCAGUAAGUCAUUUCCGUGUAUUUGGCUGCCCUUGCACCCUUCUUCACCUAGAGUCCAACCUAAAGUUUAAUGCCAAAGCCGAUGAUUGUUAUUUCGUAGGGUAUGCUGCACGCACAGCAUAUAGGGUCUACAAUUAGAAGACGAAGCAGAUUGUGGAAUCCUAUGACAUAAGCUGGCUGGAGGAGAAUGAAAUGGAUGCUCGAAUGGGUCUGGAUUGGUUAUUUGAUUACACAUCACUUUUAAGGUCUAUAAAUGUGUCUUCAGAUAGUUCAUCUGGGUCUUUCUCUGGUUCGAAGAAUGUUUCUGAAGAUGAAGACGAAGAAGUUGUCUACAGACCCCCAACAGUAUCCUCUUCACCAUCUGAGGGGGAGUCCUCUGCUUCACCUGAGGGGGAGUCAUCUGUACCACAUGAUAGUCCAAAAUCUCCAGUUCAGAAUGAUACUCCUGAUGUUGAGGCUACACCGCUCACUCCUGUUGAAAGAGNCUGUUGAAAGAGUGUUCAUGUCUAGAGAUGCUUCCGCUGUCACUUCAAACUUUAUGGAACUACUCUUUCCUGAAGACAUUUCUAAUGAGUUUGUAGCAGAUUCAUCUGGUGUGGAACAAUCAGCAAAUGAAGGAGGUGUCAAUAUCCACAAUCUUCCCAUCUCGCUUAAUGAUAUCAGCCAGGAGAUACCCUUAAGAAUUCAAUGCGACAAUCCGAUCAAGAACAUCAUUGGUCAGGUGGGCGAUGGAGUUAAAACCAGAAGUAAGAGUGGAGAUGUCAAUACAUGUCUCUAUUCUUGCUAUAUCUCUCACAUAGAGCCCAAGAAUGUUGAAAUGCCUCUGAAUGAGCCCAGCGGGGCAGAUGCUAUGCAUGAAGAGUUGAAUCAGUUUGAAAAGCUCGGGGUUUGGAAAUUGGUUGAGUUACCAAAGGGCAAAAAGUCUCUUCACACACGUUGGGUCUAUCGAAACAAGCAGGAUGAUUCAGGGGUUAUAGUGCGAAAUAAAGCUAGAUUGGUGGUUCGCGGGUUUCGACAAGUCGAGGGUCUUAAUUAUACUGAGGUUUAUGCUCCAGUAGCUCGCUUGGACACUAUUCGUAUCUUCCUUGCAUAUGCCUCUUACAUGAACUUCACGGUUUAUCAAAUGGACGUCAAGACAGCCUUCUUGUAUGGCAAGGUGAAGGAAGAAAUCUACGUUUAUCAUCCCCCUGGGUUCGUUAACUCAAAGUUUCCUAAUCAUGUCUACAAGUUGGACAAGGAAUUGUAUGGGUUACAUCAAGCUCUUCGAGCAUGGUAUGCGACCCUUACAAAGCACUUGCUCGAGCAUGGAUACUCUCGUGGCACUAUCGAUCAAACUUUGUUUAUCAAGCAUGUUGGUAAUGAUCAGAUUCUGGUUCAAAUCUACGUUGACGACAUUAUUUUCGGGUCUACCAGUCCGCACCUAUGCAAGGAGUUUGAAGGCGUUAUGAAAAAGCAGUUCGAGAUGAGUUCGUUGGGAGAAAUGACCAUGUUUAUGGGGCUUCAGGUUAAACAAAAUUCAACUGGAAUCCUUCUACAUCAAGCCAAGUACGUGGAGGAUAUUCUUGAGAAGUUCGGAUUUCAAGAUGCUAAACCUGCAUCGACGCCAAUGCCCGAAUGACCUCUGCUGACUCCAGAUACUGAUGGCGAAUCUGUAGAUCAGACACACUACAGAUCGAUAAUCGGAUCGUUGAUGUAUCUUACUACAAGUCGUCCAGACAUCAUGUUUGCAGUUUGUUAAUGCGCAUGUUAUCAGGCUAAUGCUAAAUUUUCACAUCUUAUUGUCGUCAAAAGAAUUUUUCGGUAUAUCAAAGGCAGCCCAAAAUUGGGUCUUUGGUAUUCGAAAAAUUCUGAAUUUGAUUUAUAUGCUUUUGCUGACAGUAAUUAUGGAGGCUGUGAGCUUGACAGGAAAUCUACUUCAGGAGGGUGUCAAUAUCUUGGAGAUCGGCUGGUGUCGUCGCAGUGCAAGAAGCAACACACCGUCUCAACUUCAACAGUUGAAGCGGAAUAUGUUGCUGUAUCUGCUUGCUGCUCUCAAGUUUUCUGGAUCCAACAUCAGCAUUUGGAUUACGGUAUGAAUUAUCUAGAAACCCAUAUCUACUGUGAUAAUGAGGCUGCGAUUCAAAUUGCUAAAAAUCUUGUCCAACAUUCAAAAACCAAGCACAUUGAUAUUAAAAUUUAUUUUAUCAGACUGUUUUGAACGUUCACUCAUCCGGCUGGAACAGGUUCCCACUGCUAAUAACGUGGUGUAUCUGUUCACCAAGCCUUUUUACAAAGAUCGAUUCGAUGUGCUUGUUUGAUUUUUUAAAAUGAUUCGUUUUGAGGAUUAAUUUUAUUUUUCUAUUUUUUUACUUACUUUAAGUUAUUUUUAUUUUUAUUUUUCUUAAUUCUCAUUUUCAAGUUUAUUUUUGGUUAGCUUAGUUUAAAUUUGUGCAUUUUAGUGAUUUGAUUCUCACCCAUGCACAAAUUUAGGGGGAGAAAUAAACAAAAACCAAACAAAAAAAUUAAAAUUUUCAAAAUUCCAAAAACAAUAAAAAUCAAAAAAUCAAAAAUAUGUUGCUUGUAGGUGAUGUGUAGGGAAGUGAUAUUAUCAUGUGAUAACAGGCAAUCUGAAUAUGCGUAACGUAUAAAAAUUUAAAUUGUCUUCGCUCUGUGUUCGAUGCGCUAGUAGGCACGAAAGAUUCUAAAUGGACUUGACUAGGAAGAUUUGAACUUAAGGAAUUCAAGGACUUAACAAAUCUUGAACUAGUUAGAUCCAUUUAGCCUGACAAUACGACGCUCAGAUAGGUUGAGCAAGGAGAUAUACAUGGGAAUCUACUGGUCACAUUAAAAGAACCCGCAUCUAGAACUGUGGAUUAACUUUUCCUCCAUAUGCGGAUUCUAUCCUUAAUUAUGGUAUUGAUGGGGUGACUAGGGAAUUCCGAUAAAUUAGGUAUGUAGAAGGUUAUUUUCUUUCUUUCUGUCGUUAGUCAUAUGUUGCCUCCUCUGCGUGAUCGAGAGAUCCGACCUAGACUGUAACAUAUGCAAUUCUAUCUCUCUGCAUCUUCUUUCUAUGCAAUUCUUUUUGUAUGUUAGCCAUAUACUGUCUCCUUUGCGUGAUUUAUAAUCCGACCUGGUACACAGUAUCUGCAUCAUUCUUUUUCUCAAUCCCUCUGAAACGCCAGUUAAUCAUAUGUUUCAUCCGCUGCGUGAUUGGAAGAGAUCCGACCUGGGUGUAUAGCAUAUGCAUUGUAAAUCUAUCUUCUCUCUUAUAAUUGUUUGCUCACACGAUCUAAGGAGUAUUCUGGAAGUUCUUGAUUAUUGGAGCAUAUCAAGAAGUGGGAAACAUGUUCUAGUACAAUUAAAAUUGAACACUUACAAAUUGUCUGUAGAUCUGAUUGCUCAAUUUAGGUGGACAACAAUAUCUCUGGUCGUCGUCAGAUAAAUGGUCCUAAGGAAAUAUAUUUAAGAAUAUAGAAUCAAAAGGAUUUUGUCUUUAUUAGCUUGUCCAAAUUCUAUCACAAAUUUUCGUGUUUAAGUGAACCACAAUACCGGCGAUCGAUCAGACAGAGACAUGAAGGUAAAGGUAUCGAUAAGUAGACCAAGGCUGUCUAACAACUUUGAUCCCUAAGUCACAAAAUUAUAUUCAGUGUUUGUUUAGAUAAGUUUAGUCUAUUUUAUUUUAAUUUUAUUUUUGUUUCAUUUUCUUUUUAUUUUGUAAUUAUCAAAAUUUUAAAUUUUAAAUUUUGGAAAUUAUUUUAAUUUUGUUUUGUUUUAUUUUAUUUUUAAUCUUAUUUUAAUUUUUAAAUGCUCAAAGGUUUUAUUUUUGAAAAUUAUUUGAAAUAUUGGACUAUGCCUUACACUGUGUGGACAGCAGAUAAAAUAGUCAAUGGUAUAUAAAGAGUUUACAGACAGAAACUCCUUCACUUUUCAAUUUCCGACCGCAAAUUCUCUUCCUUUCUCUCUCAACUUCGAAAAAAAUUCCGUUUUUCUGUGAAAUUGCUCCGAUCACCUCAAAGGUAGUACGAUUCCGACCAUAGAUAUGUACUUGCUUCAUGAAAUCACUGAGUUUUUGAGCUUAAAAUCGAUGAAAAUGGGUCUGUCGGAGCUUACGGCCCAAGCUUACGGUCCAAGCUUACGGCCAGGGAGCUUACGGUCGUGAACUCCGUUUGCGGCCCUGAGCUUACUGCCACGAGUUUACGGCCGUAAACUCCAAGUUGACCGUAAACUCCUGGUUGACCUUGAACUUAAAUUUUGGACAAAAUAAUUAAUUUUUGGGCUAAAUUUAAAUCAAUUAAAAUAUUAUUUUCUUAAAUAUCUUUCUUUUCUUACUUGGUAUGUUUUAGUGCAGAUCAAAUGGCAAGCUUAAGAUUCGCAGAUACGCACAACCUGGCAAUUGUACUGGUAGAUCCUCCAGUGGCACAUGGAGAAUUCAGGUCAAUGGUUCACGGACUAAAAGAAUGUUGUCUGGCCUCUGCCGUCACCAUGAACACAGUGGUUUAUCAGAAUAUCAUAAGGGACUCUGAAGACGUUCUCAAGUCAACACCUGUUACUACUGAUCAAGUGGUUGAUAUUACAACUCCAAUGGUGACAGUGUCAGGGAUUCCUCCCCUUGAAGUUGUUUCACCUACAACUGAACCACUUCAAAGUGAUGAUGCAACAGUCCAGACCUUACAACCUCCGUCAAAGAGAAGAAGACGUGAUCCUAGAUUUGGUCUUCUGGAUUCUGACUUAUCUCAUGGACUACCAAUUACACCAACAACUACCCUUGCCAUCGUCUCAACAAAACCUUUUAGUGGAGGUCCAAGCACCACCUUUGAGGUUGGUGGCUCCUCUACUCAAUCAGGAUUUUCUUCUCCUAGGGCAGAUCUUGAUGAUGCCUCUAUACGGCUAGCCAUGCAUCUAGCCUAGGAACAAACUUCAAUACCUUCUUCUAGAGCUAAAGGAAUUUCUUUUAGAGAAGGUCAUUCAGGAGAAGAUGCUUCAGUUAUUGAUGAGCUUCAAAAGAGAGUCAAUGUGCUUGAUCAAAAGAAUAUAGAGCUCAGUAUUUAGGUUAAUGGUCUUUUGAGCAAGAAUAUAAACCUGAAGAUUCAAGUUUCUGAUCUUCAAGAGGAUAAAGCUUUGAAGACCAAGCAGAUCUCUGACUUACAUGAGCACUUUAAUCUUCUUACUUCAAGUUACUUUGAUUUGAAGAAGAAGUUAGAGGAGGAACUUGGUGACAAGUUCAAAACAUCCACUGAUGAGUCGAGGAUUAAUCUACACAUCUAGGCUCAUCCCAUUGGGACAUCCGCUUCGACAUCUCGUGUUGUUGAUAGGUUUGAAAAAGAGCCAGCUCAAGCUCCAAGUGUUGUGGCCUUAAAACGUGCCAAACUGGCCAAAUCUGCUGAAAAGGGUCAAUAUUUGUUUAAAAGGAGCUCAGAUCAGAAUGCUCCUACGGAUCAGCCUACUAUCACCUUCACAGAUCUUGAAGAGAAUCGUUUUAUAGAUAUAUGUGGUGAUAGGUUGGGGAUCGUUUCAUGGGGAUUUCACGAUACUUUGAACAUGUGGAUCGUGAAGUGGAAAAAUGGUAAAAACUGAGCUAUAUAAAGAUGCUCAUGAUUUCAACUCCUGGACCAGGGUUGAUCUUUCAGAGCUAUCAAAGGCCCUAUUUUUCAAACGUCUCUCAAAGUCCCCAGGCUACGCAGUUCAAGAAUUUCUUGGAAGACCAAGUACACAAGGGUUUUCCUUCCAUGAAGACUGCAGAGUCAAUCAUUAAGAUAUACCCAAGUGUGAUUGAUGCUAAAACUAAUCAACCUCUUCGAGAUGUGAUGUGGCCAACUACUAAACAAGUGAAGAAAAUUCCUAUUCUUCAGGAUCAUCCAGAUGGAUCCUUGCGAACCACGGAGUACUGGGUGUUUGAUGAAACCACAACAUCUGAUGUAAUCAAGCUUGAGAAGGGAUGCAUCCGCUUGUAUGACAAAUGAGAUCUGCUUCAAUUUGGAACGUGGGAUAUACAUCGGUUGAGUCAUCAUCAGAUUAAAGUUGCAGAAGACAUCUUUGAGCCAGCUGCCAAAGAGUUUACAGCUAUGGUUGUGGAGAUCAUUGACAAACGGAUGUGGAACGGAGCGAUGGGGAAGUCGGAUGUGCUGGUGGUCGACAAAGACUGAGCUCAAGCUAUCACCAAACCAAGGGGGAGAUUGAAGGGUCUAGUUAAUGGUUGGGUCUAGGCUUUCAUUGUAAUAAGUUCUUUUGAGUUUGUAUGCAGUUUUGGUAGGUUGUUUGGUAGUUUACGACCAAGUAGUGAGUUUACAGUCGUAAGCCUGUUUACGGCCGUAAACCCAGUGUCCGUCCCAAGUCCACUAUAUAUAGGGGUUAAGUAGGUCAUUAAUGGUUGUUGAUUCCAUAAUAGUUCACGGUCAUAGGAUCAAGUUGUACUAGAUGUUUUAUGCAAUAUAAGUGUGUGCAAGCUUGUUUCAAUUUUGUUUCUUCUUUGUUUCUCAUUAUAUUUGAUUGUGUGAUUUCUUGAUCAUUGGUAAAGAUCCCUUUUCACGGCCUUACAUGGACGAUUAUGAGAACAUAGAAGAGGUGGUGGAAAUUUCAAAUUAUUUUAACGCUCCAAGCGUAAGUAAAGAUACAGUGAUGCUACGAAUUUUACCGGUCACACUAAAGGGUGAAGCAAAAGGAUGGUUAAAAUCCCUUCCCUUUGGAGAAAUUUAGAAUUGGGAUGAUUUUAAGUCUGAGUUCACCAACCAGUUUACCCUUCAAUUGAAAGUGGCAAAGCUUAAAAGAAACAUACAAAAUUUUCAACAAUUAAAAGGGGAGUCGCCAUAUGGAGCUUGGGAACGUUACAAGAGAUUGUUACGACAUUGCCCUCAACAUGAAUUCAAUGUGCAAUAAGAAAUUUCGAUAUUUUAUGAUGGAGUCAAUGUGUGUACUCGUCAACUUCUGGACUCACAAGGAGCCAUGACAAGGAAGGAUCUAAUAACAAAUAAAGCUUUGAUUGAAGAAUACGUUAAGCAUUCAAGAGAUUAUCACAACCAAAGGAAGAUUUCACUAAAGAAAAAUCAAGUAACGAUGGAGGUCAAAUGCUAUCAGUGCAAUAAUUGCAAAGCUCGAUGCAAUGGAAGAAAAUAUCAUAAAAUUGGGUGGACCAGUUCAAGUUAGAUGCGGAGCUUGUGGGGGACCCCAUUCUACAAGGGAUAGUAAUUGGAAUUCAAGAGAGAUCAAGAUACAAAAGAAAUCCAACAACUAAGCAUGACCUGUAACGUCCCAAAAAUACGAGCCAAAAUUUUCAUUUUUGAAAACAUAUAUUUAGCAAAAUAUUCGAAUAAAAACAUUUGCUGAUCAUAACAUUUUAUAAAGAUAUCGCAUAUCUGGAAAAACAUUUCAAUAACAUAAAAAUGUCAGAGUACAAAUCCCCAGGAAUGUCUCAUGAUGCGGAAUACGAAGCAUGUGUGUGAUGGGCUGCUACCGCGCCAGCUCCUUCCCCUUCGAAGAAGAGGUACCUGAAACCAAAACUGAAAACUGUAAGCACGAAGCUUAGUGAGUUCCCCCAUAAUACCUCAUACCAUGCAAGCAUACAACAUACAGCUAGGAGAUACGGGCCUUGCCCACACUCCGCUAGCCGAGAGAUACAGGCCUCGCCCAUGCUCCACUAUCUGGGAGGUAAGGGCCUCGUCCACACUCCACUCUCGGAGAGAUACGGGCCUUGCUCACAAUCAGUCGCCAACCCAUAAUAUACAAGUAUCACACAGACAACAAGUAUAGAAAACUCUAUCAUACUGGCACAUAUCAUAAUCAACUCAUCCAAGAGAUACGGGCUCAACCCACACUCUAGUACUAACAGCUCGUCUAUACGGGCCAGCCUUGGUGCCUUAGACCCGUUCCUACUGGAAGGAAACUCACCUCAAAGUAACUGUCGAUCUACGUGGGAACUGACUGUCUGCUGCUACUGCCGCUCCGGAGAUCUUUCGGCUAUAAUUCCAACAAAACCCUUAGUCAAAUACUGCUAACCGAUUUCAGGGUAAAUUGACCAUUUACCCUUACAAAUCAAGAGUCAAGUCACCGUCAACUGCCAGUUGACCAGACUCGCCGAGUUGGCCAGCCAACUCGCCGAGUCCCUUUCCUUUAGCCUGACCAUAAGUUCGUCUCUACUCGUCGAGUUAAGCGUAGACUCGACGAGUUUUCCUUCUAUACCCAAGGCCAAUAGUCCUUCAUCCUACUCGCCGAGUUGUAUGAACAACUCGCCGAGUUCAUCUUCAUCCGAAGAACACUCUAAGCUGUGACUCGCCAAGUUGUAUGAACAACUCGCUGAGUUGUUCUUGAGAUAAGGAGAUUGUCGUGAACUCGCCGAGUCGAUGCAUUGACUCGCCGAGUGACUUCAUAAGUGAGUCUAGCUUCCGACCCACUGAGUCAUACCCUAUGACUCACCACUCCAACUCGCAACACAAAAGGGGAACAACCCGGGGACUCGCGACCCGAAUCGCCGAGUCAGAUGAACGACUCGCCGAGUCUGCCUCAUGCAAAAACUAUACACGCGAUUUUGCUUGAAUCCAGUCCAUGCCAUUCAUAGAUCUGGGUUCCUAGGGCCUGGUUUACAUGUAAAGUUUCCAACUUUACGUGUAGAUAAUCACCAAUGAAGGUUUUAGGGCUCAAAGUGCACCAAAAGGGGUAGAUCUAGGACUUUCAUGCAAUAAGACUCCAUAAAGGCAAUAGAUCCAAGCUCCAGGGACUAAAUCAUGCCUAGAUCUAAAGGCUAACAACUUAUUACAACCCACUAAGCACAAACAAGCUUGAAGAAUGGCUCAAAAAGGACUUUCAUGAAGCUAUUAGGGACUAAAAGCUUGAACACAGAGGGGAAACAAACCAUACCUCAAGGAAAACGUUGAGAUGUCACAAAAAUGUUUGGCCUCCUUCUCCUCUUCUUGAUCUACUCUUCUUUCUCCUCAAAAACUUCAAGAACACACAAAAACACUUUAAUCUCACAAUGAAUAAGGGUAGCACGAGGUUGGGGAGCUCUGAGGGUGAAUGGGGGCGAGGUUGGGGCGGAAAUGAGAGUUUAAAUAGGGUGCAAACCCUUAUAUUUUAGGGUUUCAACAGACAGCGGUGACUCGCCGAGUCCAGAAUAUGGACUCACCGAUUCGCCAACUUAAACGUACCCCCGGACCGCGUCCCUACUCGGCGAGUCGGACCUACAACUCGUCGAGUUCAAGGCUAAAAAUGACAAAUACUUAGAUAAAUUUUACGUACCAGGAACCAGGUGCUACCAAUCUCCCCUACUUAUUUUAGACUUCAUCCUCGAAGUCUGCCGCUCGAUCCUGAAACAGCUCGGGGUAAUGCUCCUUCAUUUCUUCCACCGGCUCCCAAGUCCAUUCUGAACCCUUGCGGUGUUGCCAUUGCACUUUCACUAACUCCACCCUCUUGUUCCUUAGAUCCUUCGACUUCCGGUCGAGGAUUCCAACUGGGCGCUCAAUGUAAUUCAGACUGUCAUCAAGCUGAAUAUCCUCUAAUGGCACCACCGCUGAAUCAUCCACGAGACACUUCCGCAGCUAGGAGACAUGGAAGGUGAUGUGGAUCUGGCUGAGCUCGGCUGGCAGAUCCAGCUGAUAUGCCACCUUGCCCACCCGGGCUACAACCCUGAACAGUCCGAUGAAUCUCGGGCCCAACUUGCCCCGCUUUCUGAAUUGAAUGACGCCUUUCCAAUGCGACACCUUCAGGAGAACCAUAUCCCCGACCUGGAACUCCAGGUCGGAUCGACACUUGUCGGCAUAACUUUUCUGCCGNNNNNNNNNNNNNNNNNNNNNNNNNNNNNNNNNNNNNNNNNNNNNNNNNNNNNNNNNNNNNNNNNNNNNNNNNNNNNNNNNNNNNNNNNNNNNNNNNNNNNNNNNNNNNNNNNNNNNNNNNNNNNNNNNNNNNNNNNNNNNNNNNNNNNNNNNNNNNNNNNNNNNNNNNNNNNNNNNNNNNNNNNNNNNNNNNNNNNNNNNNNNNNNNNNNNNNNNNNNNNNNNNNNNNNNNNNNNNNNNNNNNNNNNNNNNNNNNNNNCGCUCACUCUGACCAUCCGUCUGCGGGUGAAAGGCGGUGCUAAAAUGCAGACGAGUGCCCAGCUCAUCAUGAAACCUCUUCCAAAACCUGGAAGUGAACCGCACAUCUCGAUCCGAUAUCACUAACACUGGCACCCCGUGCCGCGCCACUAUCUCCCUGAUAUAGAUAUCGGCCAACUUUUCGGUCGAGAUACUCUCCGGAAUCGGAAUAAAAUGGGCGCUCUUGGUCAACCGAUACACGAUGACCCAAAUCGAAUCUACCCCUUGUGCCGUUCGUGGGAGCUUCGUGAUAAAAUCCAUCGUAAUAUCCUCCCAUUUCCAUAACGGGAUAUCCAACGGCUGCAUCUUUCCGUGCGGUCUUUAAUGCUCGGCCUUGACCUUCCGGCAGGUCAAACACCGCUCGACGUACCACGCCACAUCCCACUUCAUGCAGAGCCACCAAUAGUCUAGGCGGAGAUCCCGAUACAUCUUCGUUGCCCCUGGAUGAAUAGAAAAUCGGGAUUUUUGCGCCUCCUCCAUCAAGAUCUGGUGCACGCCUCCAUGAUACGACACCCACACCCUACGGUGGAGUGUCAAUAACCCCCGGCUAUCAUAAUCUAAAGAGGUGACUUGACCCACUAUUCACUCGCUCUUCUGAUGCUCUUCCUUCAUAGCCUCCUGUUGAGCCUCCCGAAUCUGCUCCAACAGGGGAGUCACCACAGUCAUCCUCAUGCAAAUAUCCCUGAUCGGCACCGCCUUGCGGCUAAGCGCAUCAGCCACCACAUUUGCCUUCCCUGGGUGGUAAAGGAUCUCACAAUCAUAAUCCUUCACCACGUCCAACCACCGACGUUGUCUCAUGUUCAGAUUCGGCUGAUCCAUGAGGUACCUCAAGCUCUUGUGGUCCGUGUAAAUGGUACAUCGAACCCCGUAGAGGUAAUGCCGCCAAAUCUUGAGAGCGAAAACAACCUCCCCCGACUCCAAAUCAAGCGUCGGGUAGUUCGCCUCGUGAGGCUUCAGCUGCCUCGAGGCAUAAGCAAUGACAUGCCCCCUCUGCAUCAAUACUGCACCUAGGCCUGAGAUCGACGCAUCACAAUAUACCACAAAAUCCUCUACGCCCUCGGGCAGGGCUAAGAUCGGCACCUCGCACAAUCUCUACCUCAGAGUCUCGAACGUUGCCUGCUGCUCAGGCCCCCACCGAAAGACCACAGCUUUCCUAGUCAACCGUGUCAGGGGUACGGCUAUCUUGGAGAAAUCCUGAAUGAACCUCUGAUAGUAGCCUGCCAAUCCUAGGAAACUCCAAAACUCGGAUGGAGACUUCAGAACCUCCUACCUCAUCAUGGCCUCCACCUUGGCCGGGUCUACUAAAAUCCCGUUCUGAUUGAUGAGGUGCCCAAGAAACUGCACCUCGCGCCACCAAAACUCACAUUUGGAGAACUUGGCGUACAAGCUCUCCCUCCUCAGGGUCUCCAAUACCUCUCUCAGAUGCUCCUCCUGAGUCUUGGAAUAAACCAAGAUGUCAUUAAUGAAACUAUCACAGACCGAUCCAACAUCGGUCUACACACGCGGUUCAUGAGGUCCAUGAACGCGGCAGGAGCAUUGGUGAGCCCAAACGGCAUCACCACAAACUCAUAAUGCCCAUAACACGUCCGAAAUGCGGUCUUCUGUAUAUCCUCCUCUCUAACCCUCAUCUGAUGAUAGCCUGAACGCAAAUCAAUCUUGGAGAACCAAGAUGCUCCCUGCAACUGAUCAAAGAGGUCAUCAAUCCUCGGGAGUGGGUAACGGUUCUUCACCGUUACCUUAUUCAGCUCCCGGUAGUCUAUACACAUCCGGUGCGACCCAUCCUUCUUCCUCACAAACAGGAUCGGGGCUCCCUAGGGCAAACUACUCAGACGAAUAAAUCCCUUGUCUAGCAGCUCCUGCAGCUGCGUAGAUAACUCCUGCAUCUCAGGAGGAGCCAACCGAUAGGGUGCCUUGGCUAUCGGAGCCGCACCAGGAACUAGGUCGAUCCUAAACUCUACCUGACGCUCUGGAGGUGUUCCAGGAAGCUCCUCCAGGAACACAUCAGCAUAGUCUCACACCACUGGAACCUCGCUCACUGUCUCCUUACCCAUCUCCCGAGUAUCCAUAACAUAUGCAACAUACCCCGCGCAACCCUGCUGGAGGUAGCGCCUAGCCCUCGCUGCUGAACAUACUACAGGUCCACGUUGUGACCUCUCACCGUGGAUCACCAACUCUCCCCCGCUUGGGGUCCUGACCCGCACUAGCUGUUGUGCGCAAUCUAUCACCGCCCCAUUAGGGCUCAACCAAUCCAUGCCUAUAAUCACCUUGUUCCCCCGCAACGGUAUGGGAACCAAAUCCACCAAAUAAUGCUCCUCAAAUAACCUCAAAACACAAUCCCCGAACACUGUUGAUGCUCGCACCGAACGAUCAUCGGCAAUCCCUACCUCUAAAGGGCGAUCCAACAUGCCUGAAGACUCAGUAAACCUCUUGCUAAGCGCAAGGGAAACAAAUGAUCGGGUGGCACCCAAAUCGAACAACACCUGGACAGGAAUACCGUUCACAUGGAACGAUCCUAAUGCAUAUACACAGAGCACAUAUCAAUAACAUAACAUCAUAAAAAUAAAGUAGAGGGAAAGAAUCAUACCCGUCACCACAUCGGGUGCGGCGCGUGCCUCCUUUGCCGUCAGCUGGAAUGUCUGGCUCCUCACCACUGGAGCCUCUGCCUUGCCCUAUCGGCCAUCUAUAAUCCGCAGGGUAGCUGGAGCCGGCACCCUAACCGGCGCGGAUGCUGUCAUCUGGGGGCAAUUGGCCUUCUUGUGGCCCCUCUGGUUGCAGUGAAAACACAGCAACUCCGAUGUCUGAAUAGCCAAAGCAGGAGUAGUACAAUCCCUGCUAAAGUGCCCUGCCUUGCCGCACUUGUAGCAGCCUUCUGAUCCCAUCCUACAUGCUCCUUCAUGCGUCCUGCCGCAUUUCCCGCAGCGGCCCGGCCCUCCUUGGCCUUUCGGCCUCCCAUCUGAUCCCUUGGACUUCUUCCCUGAAGCCCCAACCACCUAUCCCGCCUCUGCUUUCCUCUUCCGAAUGUGCUCCAAAUCAAUCUCCCUUUCCCUCGCCCUGGCAAUCAUGGAAUCCAGGGUAGGGCAGGCUGAAAAGCUAACAUGCUCCCGGAUGUCAGCCCGUAGCAUGUCAUGAUAACGGGUCCUCCUCAUAUCCUCAUCACCCGCAUACUGGGGCACCAAUAGUGCCCUCUCCCGGAACUUGGCGAUGAUCUCCGCCACAGUCUCCGUCGUCUGCCUCAUGUCUAAGAACUCCCUGGCCAGCUGCUGAAGCUCGACAGCUGGCGCGAACUCCGCCCUGAACCUGGUCACAAAGUCCAACCAAGUCAUAGCCUCGAUAGCCGAGGCUCCCAGUGAGUCCCCCACGGACUCCCACCAAUCCCUAGCUCGAUCCCGUAAACACCCUACUGCGAACCUCAUCUUCGACCCCUCAGGGCAGAAGCUAAUCAUCUGUGCAGACUCAAUGUCGGUAAUCCAUCGUCUGGCAGCUAUGGGGUCCUUCGCCCCGUGAAAAUCCAACGCACCACUGCCCCGAAAGUCCUUGAAGGACAGCGUGCGAGAUCCCGACUGGCCAGAUGCCAUAUCGCUCCUGAAUGCCCGAAGGCGAUCCUCCAUCAACUCCAAUAUCCCUUCCUUGAUCGACCCGAAGAUGAUGGGGGUCGACUCAAGGAUGCCUCUGGUGAUCUCAAACGUGAUGAACUCACAUAGCCCCUCAUCCACUGGCUCGGAACCUGAUCCCUCUCCUGUACUGCCAACUGUUGGCCUCGAACGUAGUACCACCAUUUUGAAAUACAAAGGAAAUGACAACUGUUAGCGAUACUAAUACCUCUGGAGGGAUCAUAAUUACUACAAGUUCCCUGGUCUUAUCUUGGCAUUCCUCGAUUCGGGUACGGAUCUCAGUAGUACGGGCCCAUACUACCUUCCACAUAUAUCUGUACCUUCUCCAAGGACUGCCUUGACUCCACCAGGUCCCUUUCACUACCGCUGAUCUCUGCUACUCAUAUCCUAGGCUUACCCUAGGAAACCUCUGACUUCACCCAACCUAGUCCUCAGCUGCUGAAGGCCUCUUGGUGAUGUCAAUUAGCCAUUACCUGAAUACAAUCACAUGUAACGAGGCUCGGAUAAUCCUUUGAGAAAGGGACUCAUCCCUACCAUGGUUAGGACUCAAACAAGAGCUACACAAUAGGGUCAAAUCCAACACUCUAAGAUUAUUCAACCCUGAUCACAUGUGACUUUAUCGUAUUCACCUAACAACUAACUCCCAUCACUUCAAAGCCCACAUAGCACAAAACAAACAACAUUUGGACAUAAAGGAAACAAUCUCAAGCAACUCAAUCCUCUUAGAGAGAAACUGAACUAGCAUACAACGCUAAACUCGCACUAUCAGGCAUAACCUAAACAGACCAUCCUAAUGUUGUCUACUCAAUUCUAGCAUGCAACUUUUCACGCACUGAAGCACAUAAAGCAGGCACAUAAGGCAUCACUCCUAGAUCCUUAGUCCUAUUCUAGCAUGUUGUUCUACUGAAACUGAUAAGCAUAACAUAAACUUGUAUGGGUACUUUGGGGAAUACUUACUUGAGCUUGGCCGGUCGCGCACAUCACACACUUCUUUCUUUCUUAGAAAACUUUACUAGCUUUUAGAAAACAUUUUCUUUUCCCAAAAUCUUUCGAUCCCUCGAUUUGAGUUCAAACACCCCCCGAAGGUGUGUUCGAAUCCCUCAAACCAGGGCUCUGAUACCAACUUGUAAUGUCCCAAAAAUACGAGCCAAAAAUUUCAUUUUUGAAAAGAUAUAUUUAGCAAAAUAUUUGAAUAAAAACGUUUACUGAUCAUAACAUUUUAUAAAGAUAUCGCAUGUCUGGAAAAACAUUUCAAUAACAUAAAAAUGUCAAAGUACAAAUCCCCAAGAAUGUCUCAUGAUGCGGAAUACGAAGCAUGUGUGUGAUGGGCUGCUACCGCGCCAGCUCCUUCCCCUUCGAAGAAGAGGUACCUGAAACCAAAACUGAAAACUGUAAGCAUGAAGCUUAGUGAGUUCCCCCAUCAUACCUCAUACCAUGCAAGCAUACAACAUACAUCUAGGAGAUACGGGCCUUUCCCACACUCUGCUAGCCGAGAGAUACGGGCCUCGCCCACGCUCCGCUAUCUAGGAGGUACGGGCCUCGCCCACACUCCACUCUCGGAGAGAUAUGGGCCUUGCCCACACUCAGCCGCCAACCCAUAAUAUACAAGUAUCACACAGACAACAAGUAUAGACAACUCUAUCAUACUAGCACAUAUCAUAAUCAACUCAUCCAAGACAUACGGGCUCGGCCCACACUCUAGUACUAACAUCUCGUCUAUACAGGCCGGCCUUGGUGCCUUAGACCCGUUCCUACUCGAAGGAAACUCACCUUAAAGUAACUGUCGAUCUGCGUGGGAACUGACUGUCUGCUGCUACUGCCGCUCCGGAGAUCUUCCGGCUAUAAUUCCCACAAAACCCUUAGUCAAAUACUGCUAACCGAUUUCAGGGUAAAUUGACCAUUUACCCUUACAAAUCAAGAGUCAAGUCACAGUCAACUACCAGUUGACUAGACUCGCCGAGUUGGCCAGCCAACUCCCCGAGUCCCUUUCCCUUAGCCUAACCAUAAGUCCGUCUCUACUCGUCUAGUUAAGCAUAGACUCGACGAGUUUUCCUUCUAUACCCAAGGCCAAUAGUCCUUCACCCUACUCACCGAGUUGAAUAAACAACUCGCCGAGUUCAUCUUCAUCCGAAGAACGCUCUAGCUGUAUGAACAACUCGCCGAGUUGUUCUUGAGACAAGAAGAUUUCCGUGAACUCGCCGAGUCGUUGCAUUGACUCGCUGAGUGACUUCAUGAGUGAGUCUGGCUUCCGGCCCACUAAGUCAUACCCUAUGACUCACCACUCCAACUCGCAACACAAAAAGGAGAACAACCCGGGGACUCGCGACCCGAAUCGCCGAGUCAGAUGAACGACUCUCCGAGUCUGCCUCAUGCAAAAACUAUACACGCGAUUUUGCUUGAAUCCAGUCCAUGCCAUUCAUAGAUCUGGGUUCCUAGGGCUUGGUUUACACGUAAAGUUUCCAACUUUACGUGUAGAUAAUCACCAAUGAAGGUUUUAGGGCUCAAAGUGCACCAAAACGGGUAGAUCUAGGACUUUCAUGCAAUAAGACUCCAUAAAGGCAGUAGAUCCAAGCUCCAGGGACUAAAUCAUGCCUAGAUCUAAAGGCUAACAACUUAUUACAACCCACCAAGCACAAACAAGCUUGAAGAAUGGCUCAAAAAGGACUUUCAUGAAGCUAUUAGGGACUACAAGCUUGAAAACAGAGGGGAAACGAACUAUACCUCAAGGAAAACGUUGAGAUGUCACAAAAAUGCUUGGCCUCCUUCUCCUCUUCUUGAUCUACUCUUCUUUCUCCUCAAAAACUUCAAGAACACACAAAAACACUUUAAUCUCACAAGGAAUAAGGGUAGCACGAGGUUGGGGAGCUCUGAGGGUGAAUGGGGGCGAGGUUGGGGCGGAAAUGAGAGUUUAAAUAGGGUGCAAACCCUUGAAUUUUAGGGUUUCAACAGACAGCGGUGACUCGCCGAGUCCAUAAUAUGGACUCGUUGAGUCGCCAACUUAAACGUACCCCCGGACCGCGUCCCUACUCGGCGAGUCGGACCUACAAAUCGCCGAGUUCAAGGCUAAAAAUGACAAAUACUUAGAUAAAUUUUACGUACCAGGAACCAGGUGCUACAUGACCUCUACCAAAUAGAACAAGUCCACUCUAAGAAAAUAUCUUCUCUCGAGUCAAUGCUAUUUAGAUUUAUGGGAGCUAGUGAAAAACAACAUGAUGCUACAGAUGCAACACUUAGAGAUCAACAAGCAUCUAUCAUGAGCAUCUACACACAAGUUGGGCAAUUAACCAACCUUGUGCAAGAAAAGCUACCGGAUUCACCUUCAAGAAAAACCGAGUCAAUCCCAAUCUCUCAAGUCAUGGUUGUUUAUAUAAAAGAAGAGGAGGAAUUGGUGCAUAUGGGGGUCCAUGAUUCAAUAGAAGAACAGUUUAAUCAGUCGCCAAAAGAAAAAGAAGAUAUAAGUCGUAACUCUUACCAAUCGCCACGACGUGGAGGCAAUAUUGGCAUGUCCUGGGCAAUAAAAGAAGAUUAUGAUUUUUCACUAGUUAAACCAUAUCAACCACUUCUUCCUUUUUCAUCUCGUGCCAAGUAAAAUCUGGAGAAGCAAGGAAACACAAUGUUCAUGGAGCAUAAAGAACUUGAAGAGCAAUUGGAAAAGGAAGGGAAUUAUUCGAAACCUCCAAUGUCAACGCCAAUGAUUUUCGAGAUGUUUGCUUUUACAAGACCACCAGAUCAAGUCACAAAGAUAGUUGAAGAAAAAGAAGAAGAGAAUGAUGAGUCUCAUUUUAACAAGAAAAACCUGGAAAAGGACAAGACAAAAGCUAAAGACACGAGAAUGUAGAAAGAACCCAAGAGGAAGCAUUAUGAAGAUGUCAACCCAAAAAUUCCAGAAAGCACAGCAAAUGCAUUCAACAGAUGGGUUGCUUACAAAGGAGAAAGGUUCAAGAGGAUGGAGAACGGGGAGGUUACACUUCCACCUGACGCAACGUGGAAGGGAAUGAGUACAACAAAAGUCUCCUCAAAAAGAAGCGUUUCUCGGGAGGCAACCCGAUUUUUGAGAGUUUGCAUUAUCUUUUCCUUUUGAUUUCUUUUUAGUUUUUAUUUUCACUUAUAGUUUUAAUUUAGUUUAACCAAAUAAUGAUGUGUUUCUCUAGUCUUUGAUCUUACCUUGUAGUGUUGAACGAAAGUGAAGAAGUGAAGGAGUUGAAUUCAUAAAAAUGUCGUGCUAUUUUUCUUUGACGAUUAUAAUUGAAGACCAUGUUUUUGAAUAAGUGUGGGGUUCCCACCUGGUGAAGAGAAGAUCUUUGAAGAUAUUUUUUUAGAAAGAAGACGCUGGGAAUGAUCCUAAGUCAUUAAGAAGAAACAAUGAAUAAUUUUGGAACUAAUUGGCAUUCUAAGAAGUCACCACGACGUGGCCAUCAUCACCACGCCGUGGCAUUUGUUUUUAUCGCGAUUGAAUUUCAUUAGCUCUAUACACAUGUCGUGGCAUCUUUAAACCGCGAUGUGGUGUUCUUAUUUUUCAUGAUCAUCACGACUUCUACCUCGACACCACGACGUAGCGUUGCUUUCCCACGUCGUAGUCCACGUUCAACAUACUUUUUGAAAGAUGCUUCUUUGUUCGUUUUGAUCUAGCACAUAUACAUUCACAUUCACCAUAGAAGAUCUAAGAAGUACUGUUUCCAGCAAUUAUACGUGCAGUCCAAUCUUUCCACACACUUUCAGAAUUCGAUCUCUCCCCUACUACCCAAUCAGAGCCUAUUCCAAUUCUCUCUCUUUAACUUUAUGUUCUUUUAUUGUUUAAGCAUGCGACGGGGACAUUGAAUCAUUUAAGUGUGUUGUAGGGUGUUGAAUCUAGGAAAACAAACAUUCUGAUUAAAAAUUGAAAAUUGAAAAAAUGAAUAGGAAUUUAAAAAUUAUUAGAAAGAUUUGAAAAAUAUCUAAAAUUGAAUCUAGUUAAAUAUUUUUUUGUUAUGUUGAGAUCUAUGUUGCUAGCAUUGUGUGGGAUAGUCCAUUACGAGUUUUGAUGUUUAUUUGAGCCAAUAAAUGUUGUAGUGUAUUUGUGGCUACCAUAUCCUUGUGAAAUCAUGGAACAAAAACACGACCUUUCUUAUUUGAGGGUCGCAAUAUGUUUAGAAUCGUGUACCAGAAAUGUAUCCAAGGGAGCUUAUGUAGUCAUUGCAUCUUAGACUAAUACCUCUAACCAAUAAGGGUUGAAGUUAAGUUCCCAUGCUUAAAGCAUAUGUUUUUAUAGGUUUUUAGUUUUGAGUGAAAAAACAAAAGAAAAAUAAAAAUAGUUGCAAAAUUGUUGAGUGAACAAGAGUUAUCAAAGCUUUGAAGAUCAAGAAAUAUCUUGAAGAAAACUCCAAAUCAAUGAAGACUCAAGAAUAAGGCAAUUUGCCAAGUUAUUUUAUAUUGUAAUUUUUCUUUAUAGGUUAGUUUACCAUAUGUAUGCUUCGGAGCUUAACCAAAAUUAAAUUGAGGUUAAGAAAUUUUUCUGGGAUAGAUUCGGGGGGAUGCAUAAAAUGAGCGUUGUUCAAAAGAAGUGAGCAAGUGCUUAUGAAGAUUGUGAGUAUUUAGGAUUGAGAAGUUCUUACGAAAAAAUAUAGACUCAAAUACAUACAUUGCGGACUUAGAGUAAUGGAGAAGCUCAAAAUGUAUUGUCUUGUGUGAUGUGGGUAGCUAAAGUCUUGAUAUGAUAAUAAAAUCAGUUUUGUUUGAGGGAAAGCAAAAGACAAGUGUGAGAUAUUUUGAUAGUGUCAUAUUUAUACACAUUUAUAGGCAGUAUUUUAAUACAUUUUAAGCUAUAAUUUUGUUAAUUGCAAAGAUAUUUGGUACUUACAAUGUUUAAAUUUUAUUUUGCAGCAAAAAGUGGACAUUCUCGAAGAAAAGGAUCGAUACCGACAAAAGCUGGAUACUUGAAGGAUUGGAGUUGAAAAAGAUACAAAAAGGAUGUUGUUGGACAGCUUGACCCCUCGUCAGUAUUUUCACCAUAUCUUAUGACUCGUAACUCCGAGUGAUGAGAUUCAGAAUGAUCUAAAACUAGACAAAAUUUUGGACGACUUUCGUUUUUGUGCCAAAUGCUAAUUUACAAUUCUCACGACGUGAGAACUAUAAUCUCAUGACGUGAGAUUGAUUAUUCUAAAAGAUAACUAUGCGGAGAGCAAGUUUCCUUGUUGAAUACGGAUUUCUACUGAUCUUACGACGGGAGACCCUAAUUCACACGACGUGAGAUGUGAUUUAAGGAAACUAUAAAUAUUCCUUUACAUAUUCGAUUUUGGAGAGUUGGAAUAGAUAUUAUGGACAGAUAAUCGAGUUUAGAGGUCAGAUGAAUGCGAAAAACAUCUAUUGGAAGAGGAGACCGUUUGAAGAUUGAAGAUUUGAAGAUCACACAUCAUAUUCGGGUUGCGUUGAUUUAAUCAUGUCUAAUUCUUAUGUUUUUGUGUGCUUAAUUUAUGCCAUGAGUAGCUAAAUCAUUAGGCUUUCGUUUAGUGUAGAUGAACCCUAAUACUAUAAGUUAGUUUCUUAUUUAUCUAUGGAUUUUAUGAAGUUGGAUAAUGCAUGUGUUUAAUUAUCAUUACCUAGCAUGUUAAAGUCUACAUAUUUGUUGCUUUGAUUCAAGUUAAGUGUAAUUUAAUGACCAUUUGAAUUACAUGAACUUGUUUCCAUAGUAGUUUAUGAUUAUUAAAUUGCUAGAGCUAGGAUUAAUCAAAUCUUAUAUUCGGUAAUAAAGGUAACAACUUUAGCUAUGUUAGAGAACAUAAUUUGAUCAUAAUUGUGUUUAAUUAAUUGUCUUGAUCAUAGAUAAUUAUCUUAGAUAUACCUUAUGUAGCCAAAUUAUAUUUAAUAAUCAAUUUUGUGUUUGUUUGUGUAUGAUCAUUACAUAGUAGUUCAUGAAUUGGUGAAAAUAUUAGCAGAUCGGAUCAAGACUGCUAAUUACAUUAAUAUUGGUAAUCUACUAAAUAAAUCCAUGAUUAAGAACUAACUAUAUGAAAAAAGGGGAUUCGAAGCUAAGUGGAAGUAGCUUAUUAAUCUUGUUUACAAUCAUUUUUAGCUGAGAAACUGAUUAACUUAAGUUAAUCUAAACUUCCAAAAUCAGAUAAAUCCCUUUUUAGUUAUUGUUUUUAGAUUAAUUUUUAGUAGUUAAAUUAUUAGCUAAAUCUGUUUCCUGUGUUCGAUACCCAACUUAUUUUACUAUACUAAAAGUUGACUAGAUACACUACCUAUAGGUGCAUUAGUAGAUAAGUAGUUAGGUUUAUAAGUUUAAAACUAUAGAGGCAUAUCUUUUGCACAUCAUUGCAUCUCAACACUGCUUAUCAUCCGCAGACGGGCAGUCAGAGUGAACGGACCAUUCAGACACUUGAGGACAUGUUGAGAGCUUAUGUAAUAGAUUUUGGUGGGAGUUGGGACUCUUGCCUUCCCUUAGCUGAGUUUUCGUAAAACAAUAGCUAUCAUUCUAAUAUCAGUGUGCCGCCUUUCGAGUUUCUCUAUGGGAGGAAGUGUCGUACCCCGGUUUGUUGGGGAAAGGUUGGUUAUAGAGUCAUGGGAAGGUUUAAGUGUGACAACCCGAAACUUCUAACCCAUGUAAUUGAUUUAGCACUAAAACUUGAGUUCAUUGUCUUUUAUUAAAUCUUGUGGUUUCAUAUGGGUGCUCUAGACUUAGUAUAAUCUAGAUAUGAGUCUUAGGAAGGGUUGGAGAGUGUUUAGUAUCACAAUAUCGGGCCAAGCUCACUAAAUAAGGUGUGUGCGGCCACACACCUGUGUGUACGGCCACACACCCAACCGCAAACACUCUCAACCUCACAGCCAAUUCAAUUUAUGGAUGGAUACCCCCCUUCAUUCAUUCAUUUUGAUGUUCUCUUCCCUCUCUCUACUUUCUCUCUCUAAAUCAUCAACCAAGAACACUUGGAAGGCUUCAUAAUAGUGAUCCACUCCAUCUUCAAGCUAAGUAUAGUGGUAAACACUUGAAUCCCAAGCUUAAAACUCAUUAUGUUCAUCAUAUUCAUCAUUCCAUGAAGGUGUACGGCCGCACACCUUCAUAAGGGGGCAGCACACAUUCAAAACUCGCAAGUAUGAAGAGCAUACACUUCGAAAAUCAACAUAUGGACUCAAAUGAGGAGUGUACGGCCGCACACUCCUGUGUACGGCCGCACACACCCUCUGUACGGCUGCACACUCUUGUGUGCUGCCUCACACACACUCCUGGCCGCACUCCCCAGCCGCACACUCAUUUUCAAGACCAUACACCCACUCUAAUACCCAUAUUUGGCCCUAAACUUGCAUAAAUCAUUAAGUUUGGAUCAUAGGACACUUAUUCUUAGUAAUUCCAAGCCCUAAGGAUGUUUUCCCAACAUGUUUAGUCAUGAAACACCUUAGUUCUAACUCAUUUAUGUGUCGUCUCAUGAAAAAUAGGGGCCAUAGGAGUUCAGGGCAUCCGUUGACACUCGAACUCUACAUUAAGCAGUGANAACCCCUACCCUUUUUCACUGUUUUCAGGGGGAACACAAUCAAAGUACAAGGGAUUACUUGUACUCAAAACUUGUUUUCGUGUGUGUGUUUCACAUUUUAUAUGCUUUUAACACUGAUUGAUACAACUGAUAACCGUUUGAACAUGCAGAUCACGUAAACAUAUAUUUGUGAAAUGGACUUUAAGCUGUUAUGUUUUAUAUAUAUUUCACAAAUGGUUUUCCACAUUUUAUCAGUUAAAAGCAUGACAUUAGAACCAUUAAAACAUAAAACUUGUACACUGUAUAUCCUCGGUAACACUCCACAAAGAUACGCGAGUGGAGGAUUAUCAUAUUAUUACUAGUAAAUUUGUUAGUCCUAUAUGAUUGGAGACACGUCCUCGGCGAACACUCCACAGAGAUACACGAGUGGAGGACUGCACCCGUAACCAGAAUCUUUGGGAUUAGAGAGCGUGACUUGAGUGUAUAGAUCUAUACGGGGCUGACUACCCCACACCUGGCUGCUAGCUACAGCCGAACCGAAAUGGUUCAAGGGUGACGAAAGUCAUAAGGUGAUGUGGACUACUUAUUGCCAUAUCUAGUCUAUCGUAUGGUUAUGGAACUCGCAAUUAGGAUAACAGAGAUUUACUUAAUAGUAANAUAAUAAUGAAUAAUUUAACACAUUUCAUAAGAUAACCAGGCUUCAGAAUACAUCUUUUACAUUGGAAACCAACAUUCAGGAAAGUAUGGGACUUUCCUGGGGAAAAAUUGAACAUAACCACAUUUUACAGAAUACAUCUUUUACAUUGAUAACCAACAUACAGGAAAGUAUGGGACUUUCGUGGGGGAAACGUAUACAUAUCUAGAAAAGUGUAACAAAACCGGAUAACUUUAUAUCUUUCACAAUUGGUAACACAGAAUCAGGAAAGUAUGGGACUUUCCUGGGAAUACAAUGGUACAUAACCAGAACAGUAUAAGAAACCAGAUAACAUAACUGUACAUUUUCACAAGAGUAAACGUGUUUUCAGUGUACAACUUCACUUUACUUUACAUAUUGUGAAACAAUAACCAAACCUUUUUAAGAAAAUAUGGGAUUUUCUUGGUGUGUGUAACAAUUUCAGAAACAAAAAGGAAACUCGAACAUUUUCACAAAACAAAAACCGCUUAUGAACUCACCAGCGUUAUGCUGAUUUUCAAAACCGCUUGUGUUCUCAGGUCAACGUUAGAACAGGUACCCGAAGAUCCUUUUGUCCAAAGAUGGAGUGCGCAGAAGACCUGUUUCAUUUUGUUUAUAUAUAUAUAUAUAUAUAUAUAUAUAUAUAUAUAUAUAUAUACUAUGUAUUACAACUGUACAAAUUUGCUUUUGAAACAAUUGCAAAACUUUUCAAUAUGUAAUGUAAUGGUUGUUUUACUUUACUUACUAUGUGCAUCAGGUUUGAUACUCAACGUGGAUUCAACCCCGGAAAUGUUUCCGCCUUCGGUUUUUGGGGUGUGACACUAAGGUAGUCCUUCAGAUGACAUAACAUAUUCAAUAGAUUAGAUAGAAACUUCAGGCAGCUCGGAGUCAGCAAAAGAGUUAUGCCGACAAGCGUCAAUCCGAGCUGGAGUUCCAGGUCAGGAAUAUGGUCUUGCUGAAGGUAUCACCCUGGAAGGGUGUAAUACGCUUCAGGAAGAAGGGAAAGUUUGGGCCCUGGUAUAUUGGGCCAUUUCGGGUGAUAUCCAGGGUUAGGUAGCGUAUAAAUUGGAUUUUCUUGAGGAGCUUAGCCAAAUCCAAAACACCUUCCAUGUUUCACAGCUUCAGAAGUGUGUGGCUGAAGAUUCUGUGGUUGUUCCUUUGGAGGAUGUUCGGGUUGAUGAUCGCCUGAAUUAUGUGGAGAGAUCAGUGAUGAUCUUGGAUCGGAAGAUGAAGGCCUUGCGCUUUUUAUAGUAAAGGUGCAGUGGCAGCACCAAAAUGGUUCUGAAUGCAUAUGGGAACCCGAGACAGAGAUGCGAGAGUACUACCCUGAGUUGUAAGCAACAGUUGACUUCGAGGACGAAGUCUAGUUCAAGUGGGGGAGAAUUGUAACAUCCUAAUUAUGCGGUAAUUCCAAAUUUUAACCCUAAGUAUAAAGUGUUGGAUAAGGUGUCAAAGUCCGUAACUAUAUUUGGUAUGAACUUGACCCGACCCGGCAUGGUCCAUUUGGGUUGCACUUCACCUAACAAUUUGUAUGGAUAUAUUUUUGAGAAUAAGAUGUUUAUGAUCCAUUAAUAUAUUAUUAGUUAUAAUAUAUUAAUAUUAUUUAAUAAGUGUUGAUCAAGAAUUAACUUUGGAAUUAAUUUAGCGAUCAAAAGAGGCUAAUUAAAUAUGGACUCUUGCAUAUAUAUGGAUUAGGCUAAGAUUUAUUUAGNUAUAUAUAUAUAUAUGGAUUGGGCUAAAAUUUAUUUAGGAUGGGCUAAGAGUAUAUGGAUGUCCAUGGAUAGUCCAUGGAGCUUUUAACCCAUGGAUCCUAGGUUAAUGAAGAGCCAUGCGUAUUAGGGUGUAACCCUAAUCCUCUAUAGUAUAUAAAGAGGUCCUUGGUUCUAGAAUUGGCACUAGUGUUUGUGAGAAACAAGGGUGGGCCGAUUUUAGCAAGCAUUAGAGUCUCUGAAGUACUUCCAAGUUGUUUUGGGUGAUUUGUGACACCACUUGAGGCAUCUACACUAUUGGUUCUAGGAUCUAAAACUCCAAGCAUUCAACCACAAAAGAAAGGUAUGUUAUUGUACUUAAACUUUUGUAUUACAAGUACCCCAUAACAUGCUAGUUAGGUUUUAAACCUUCGAAAUCAAAUUUGCAUGUAUUUUAGAGAAAACAUAGAUCCAAGGUUUUUAGUAGCCAAAAUUUUGAUACUAAAAGUAUAACACCAUGUUUAUUUAAUAAAAUAAAUAUGUAAAUUAAUGAAUGACUUGUGUUAUAAUUAUAUAGCAAGGUGUUGGCUUUGGGAAUCCAAAUGCCAAAAGUUGAAUUAUUCGGGGUCAAAGUAUAAAUUUGAGAAUUAUUUUGUAAAGAUUUUAGAAGACAGGGGGGUGUUUGGUAAGUAUUAGACCUAAUAUGAAAGGAUUUAUGAAAACAAGGGCUAAAGAGUUAAUCAUGGACCUUAUUUGAAAAUGAUUGUAGAGGAGGGGCUACAUGGUAAUUAUUAGGACUUAAAUUGAAGGGUUUUUGGUUGGUUGGGGUUAAAAAGGUAAAAUUCGGACUUCAUUUGUAAAGGAUUCAGGAGAUAGGGUCCAAAUGGUAAAUUUUGGAUCAUGGUUGAAAAGAAGUUUAUGGAGAGGGACUGAUCUUGACAUUUUGGCAAUAAAAUUGAAGGGCAUGGGUAUAAAACCUUAGCAUGUGUCGGUUGCCACUAAACCCUAACCCUAACUAAGAAUGCAGUCGUCACCCACCCUUAUGCCUCCCAUUUUCUUCCCACCGCCGCAGCCUCCUAGUCACCGAUGAAGCCAGUCUCCGGAGUCCAUCCUUUCUACGGCGGAAAAGAGCACGACGAUCGGAGGGUAAUUGCCAUCGUGAACCACUGUGAACCUCCAACAUCCAUCAAUGUCCAUGACGCUAUUCCCUUGCCGGUGAUGUUGUGUACUACUACAAGGACCACUGUAUCCUUCUUCUUCUAUCUUCUUCUUUGUUUCAUCGAUGCUACGACCAUCGUUGUUGUCGUCCCUCCGUGUCUCUUUCUUACUCUGCCUGCCACCGCUGCUUUAUCUCGUCACCAUCAGCCACCAUCGGUGGUGGCUGUGAGUUCGUGUGGCUGUUAGCUUGCUAUCAUCGGAAACGAGCUCCUGAAGGCCACCCUUCGUUGUAUGCUACUACCUACCGCCGUCAAGACCGCCGCUGCCACCUUUCCAUGGUGCUGCCAUCGCCAACCGCCACCAGGAGGGUGGUUGGACUCAUUGCAAGAAAGAUAUCAUACGGGUGUUUGUUAUUUCAUGUAGGUGGUGUUGGUUUGGCCGAAAUCUACGAGAACAGCCACCACCACCACCGUGAGGUGGUGGCUGCCACCAUGCGCCACCAUCGGCCACCAUUAGGUAGUUGCAUAUGUGUGUCUUUUAUUGUGUUUAGGGUGUUUAAUUUCGAGUGAAAUCCAUGUAAAAUGUAAUCAGAAAUUGGAUUAAUGAAAAGAAAACAAAAACCACCACCGGUUGAAAGAUACCGAGGGGGAGGUUAGCUCCCGGUUACCGGUUGAAAGAUAUCGAAGGGGAGGUUAGUUCCCGAGUACCGGUUAAAAGAUACCGAAGCAGAGCUCAGCUUCCAGUUAUGCCAGAUAGAUACCGGUUGAAAGAUACCGAGGGAUAGGCAUUAUGUGGUAUGUGGUAUGAUGAGGGAACUCACUAAGGUUCGUGCUUACGGUUUACAGUUUUGGUUUCAAGUACUCGUUUUCAAAGGAAAGGAGUCGGCUUGAUCGCAGCGCAUCACACUAUGGUUUUCCGCAAAUGAGAUCUUUGGGGAUUACACUUUGAUAUUGUUUUAUGAUAACAUGUUUUGAUUAUUUCUACUUUGGAUUUUAACAACACAUGAUAUUAUGGAUGUUUUCUUAUACUGUUGGUCUAUAAUAACUUAUCUAAAAAUGAAAUUUUUGGUCUUAAAUUUAGGGAUGUUACAAAAAGUUUAAUUAUUAUUAUUAUUAUUAGUAUUAUUAUUAUUAUUAUUAUUAUUAUUAUUAUUAUUAUUAUUACUAUUACUAUUAUUAUUAUUAUUAUUAUUAUUAUUAUUAUUAUUAUUAUUAAUGUCUAUUAUUAUUAUUAUUAUUAUUAUUAAUGUUAUUAUUAUUUAUAUUAUUAUUAAUAUGAAUANCUGCCUAUAAAAUGGCAGUUUAAUGGGUGUCCACUCGCACCCACUGCUUCCUUGACUGUUGGAGGGUCGUUAGCCGAACGGGUAGUAUAGGACCUUAAUCCUCAUUAAAAGUAUAAUGAAAUUAUAAAGUAACUAAACCUUUAUUAAUUCCCAAUCUUAGUUAUGUUAGGAAAAUGUGAAAUAGGUGCUAACCCAUGAAAUUACACUUUGUACCUUACCAAGUCGUUAGUGGAGCGUGUGUGGUUAACCCGCACACUAACAAGGACUAGUAAGAGUGGCAAAGGGUGACUUAAGUUUUAUGAUAGAUCGAUGGAGCACAUGUGGUUAACCGGCACAUCGAUUGGUGAUAAAAUUAAGGGUACCAAGUCAAUUAGCAUGGUUAUUCACACCUUGUUUGUGAUCCUCGGCAUCCCAGUCACAAACUUGAGAGGGCACAAUUGAGAUUUAAACAUGCUAUUGAAAUUUCAAUGUAUCUCAAAAGAUCUUGGAGUUUCAAAUCUAAUUAAAACUUAAUAAUUUAUUUUGUUUAUAAUGGUGGAAAUUGGUAAAUCAUCAUUCACCUACCUUCAAAUAUUUUAUAGCUUGGAUUACGACAUCCCUCUUCCAAGUUAUGAAAUAGUCUGUAGGAUCCUAGCCCUAAUAUUUCAUUUGGGUGACUUAUUAAGGACUUCUUAUCUAAUUAAAAUUUGUCUUUCUUUUCUUUCAGAUGUCUCCCAAUACUGCUGCUGGCUCAAGCCCUACAGGCUCCUUUUUCCCUCAUGAACUUGUGUAGGAAGGUCACUUUUGAUGGUUCUAAUUUCAAUGAAUGGAUUAGGAACAUCAGAAUGAUUACCCGCUAUGAGGAUAAGGAAUAUGUACUUGACAGGGAGCUUAAGGUUAUCAAUGAGUCCACUGUUACUCCUGAGGAGAUUGCGGAGUAUGCUACACAUGAGAGGGAUGCUACUAAAGUGUCGUGCAUUAUGUUGGCUACUAUGACUGCCGAACUCCAAAAAUCCUAUGAAGAUUUCUACCCCUAUGAGACGCACCUGGAUCUGAUGGAAAGGUACCAUCAUAGUGCGUGUCAAAAGAGGUAUGAAAUCAUCUCCUCCAUGAUAACAGCCAGGAUGAAGGAUGGUAGACCCGUCACCGGUCACUUGCAGAAAAUGAAAAGGUUCUCGGACCGGUUGAUGAAGCUUAAUGUGGACUUCCCUGAGGACAUGCAAAGGAUAUCAUUCUCCAUUCCUUACCUCCAAGUUAUGAUCAGUUUCGUAUGACUUAUCAUAUUAACAAGGAGGAAGCUACACUCAGCAAACUUCAGGGACUUUUAAGGACCGCUGAAAGUGGCGUUAAAGGUAAAUUGGUUGUUACUUCUACUCCUACUCCUACAACAGCCCCUAUUCUGGCAAUUGGGCAGGGAAAGGGGAAGAAGAGGAAGACCCCUUCGAAGGUUCCAUUCCUCCUUCUUCAAACCCAAAGGAAGCACAAUGCUUCUACUACCACGAAAAGGGGCACUGGAAGCGAAGCUGCCCUAACUACGUGCAGGAUGUAAAGGAUGGGAAAGUCAAACCCACCCAUGCAGGUAUUUAUACCAUAUUGUCUAAAAACUCAUUGCAUACUAACUCUGGCUAUUCGAUACAGGUUUUGGUAUUCACAUUUGUACUGAUUUGCAGGGCCUAAGAAGUAGUGAAGAAGUGGAGCACGAGAAGAUAAACUUCUUCAUGGGCAAGGAUUCACCUUUUCAUUUGAUAAUAAAAUUGGUGCUAUUGAUGCUUUUUAUAAUGGUGUGUUUUAUUUUAAAGCAUUACCUUGUAAUGGUGUAUACGAAACUGUGUCGAUUGUAGACAACUUAGGGAAUAAUGUAUUUCAUAUUGAUUCUUCGAUUACCUUGGAUAAAGCAUCCUUGUGGCAUUGUCGUCUUGGAAAUGUCAACAAGAAGCGCAUAGGCCAACUCCAAAAGGCCGGAGUUAUGGAAUCAUUUGACCUAAAAUCAGAUGAUAGUUGCGAGUGUUGUUUACUUAGAAAAAUGACGAAGUCACCCUUCACUGGUUCUUAUGAGAAGGGUGAAGGUUUCUUGGACCUCAUACACACAGAUGUGUGUGGAACCUUCAAAACCGCCACAAGGGAUGCUAAUCGCUUUUAUGUGACUUUUAUUGAUGAUUACAGUAGAGUUUCUUAGUAUUGAUCUCCUUGACUAUCUUAAGGAAUGUGGGAUUGUAUCACAAUUGACACCUCUUAGGACACCACAGCUGAAUGGUGUGGCUGAGAGGCGCAAUCGAACCUUGUUGGAUACGGUUCAUUCCAUGAUGAGUCGAGCUUCGUUACCAAUCUCAUUCUGGGGGUAUGCCUUCGAGACUGUCGCCCAUAUCCUUAAUCUAGUCCCUACAAAGAAGGUUGCCAAAACACCUCAUGAGAUGUGGACAGGAAAAGUUCCCAAUCUGGACCACAUGAAGAUUUGGGGUUGCGAGGCUUUCAUGAGGCGCAAGUCUCACGACAAGCUCGAACCUCGAAAUGAGAGAUGUAUUUUCAUCGGCUACCAAUAGAAAUCCUUUGGUUACCUCUUCUAUAGACCAGUGAGAAUGUGGUCUUUAUUGCAAGAAGAGGAGUCUUUCGUGAGAGAGAAUUUAUAAGCCAAGGAGAUAGUGGGAGGCAAAUUGACCUUGAAGAGCUUCAAGAGUCAAGUGGUGAAGGAACCUCAAACACUAGCGACCAACCUGAGGAGGAAACUCCUGUUGAGCCGAUAGAUGAGUUCGUACCUCCGAGGCGUUCCACUAGAGUUAGGAGCACACCUAACAUUUAUUACGGUUAUCACAUCACUACUGAAGGUGAUACAUUUAUCAGUGAUAGUACACUGAUAGAUUUGAAUGAACCUAAUAUUUAAUUACAAGGAAGCCAUGGCAGGCUCGAGUCUGCUAAAUGGAAGGAGGCUAUGGACACGAGAUUCAGUCCAUGUAUGACAAUCAAGUUUGGAACUUGGUUGACAAUGUACUAGGUCGUAAGACAGUUGAGUGCAAAUGGAUCUUCAAGAAAAAGACCGGCAUGGAUGGGAAGGUGCACACUUACAAAGCGCGACUGGUGACGAAGGGCUUUACUCAGACUCCAGGAGUUGACUAUGUUGAGACCUUCUCACUGGUAGCAAAGAUUAAAUCUAUUAGGGUUCUGCUAGCCAUAGCUACAUUUCAUGAUUAUGAAAUAUGGCAAAUGGAUGUCAAAACUACUUUCCUUAAUGGAAACUUGACUGAGGAUGUUUACAUGGCUCAACCGGAGGAUUUCGUCGAUGCAGAGUUCCCUAAUAGGGUGUAUAAGCUUGAGAAAACCAUUUAUGGAUUGAAACAAGCAUCUCGCAAAUGGAAUCUUUGCUUCGAUGAGAAAGUCAAAGAGUUUGGUUUUUCGAGGAGCGAGGAUGAGUCAUGUGUAUAUGUUAGGGCUAGUGGGAGUAUAGUUAGUUUUUUGGUACUGUAUGUGGAUGACAUACUACUCAUAGGAAAUGUCAACCCAACUUUACAGGAGGUUAAGUCCUGGCUUGGGAAGUGUUUCGCUAUGAAGGACCUUGGAGAAGCUACCUAUAUCCCAUGGAUAAGGAUACUGAGAGACAGGAGUAAAAGACUAAUUGGACUUAGUCAAAGUACCUACUUGGAUAAAGUGUUUAAAAGGUUCAACAUGGAGAAUUCCAAGAAAGGAGACUUACCAAUCCAUCACAAUGCUAGACUGAGUAAAAGUCAGAGUCCGAGUACAGAGGUUGAGAUAGCAGAGAUGAGUCGAUUACCAUAUGAUUCCGUUGUUGGCUCGAUCAUGUAUGUUAUGACUUGUACUCACUCUGAUGUGGCCUUUGCUUUAAGCAUGGUCAGCAGAUAUCAGGGAAACCCUAGCAAGGCUCACUGGACUGCAAUAAAGAACAUUCUCAAGUAUCUACGGAGGACUAAGGAUUAGGUUCUUACCCUCGGAGGGAGUUAUGACUUGAGAGUAGCAGGGUAUAGUGAUGCUAGCUUUCAGACUGAUAGGGAUAAUUUCUGCUCUUAGUCGGGUUGGGUUUUUACCCUAAAUGGAGGAGCAAUUACUUGGAAAAGUUCCAAGUAGGAGAUAGUAGUUGAUUCUACUUGUGAAUCAGAGUACAUAGCAGCAAGUGAAGCGGCAAAGGAGGUAAUAUGACUGAAGAACUUCAUUGGAGACCUUGGAGUUGUACCAGCUAUACAUGAGCCUAUGGAAAUUUUUUGCGACAGCAAUAAUGUGGUUGUCUUAGCCAAUGAGCCAAGAGAUCAUGGUAGAUCCAGACACAUUGACAGAAAAUAUCAUUUCACAAGACACAAGAUAGAAAAAGGACUCCUCGUGGCAAAGAGGGUAUCGUCAGAAGAGAACCCAACAGAUCCCCACACGUAGGGACUGACUAGGGUUAGGCAUUAGCAGCAUGUGAGAAGCAUCGAGCUGAGAGACGACAUUAGUUUUAAUAAUUAGAUAGCUAUUUCUGAAACUUAUAAAAUGUAAUUAACAUUUAAUGAUUAAAUUAAAGUUGUUAUUUAUUUAUGAGUAAAGUGUUACUAUCCUAUGUUGAUCGUUUACUAUUGUUUUAAUUUUGCAUGUUUUGACUUCCAGAAUAAUUGUUUUAUUCAAACUCUCCACAGUUGGUCGUACGUUGGAAAUAGGUAUUGAAUUAAGACUUUCAUGAAUCUGGCUUGUAAGAUUUGUCUAAGGUGCAUUAGACAUAGCAAUGGUUGCUACAACAUUCAUGAGUGAUCAUAAGUUCUGAGUAUUGGAUUAAACCCACACUCACUUUUAUCACUUCAUGGAAUUUAUCUCGAGUGAUCGUGAGAUGGUAAUAUCAUAUAUAUCUUCAAACCUAGAGAUAUGAUCCGUUGACUAUGAGUUGGUUAUCCAUUAAUUGUACGAAAAUGCAUCAGUAACUUGAUGUCAUAAAACGUGCUUUUGUGCAUAAUUCAACUGGUAGUUAGUACAAGCAUAUGAGUCGAAGUUUAUCUGUUCCUUCUAGCAAUAGAAGCGAUAUAUGGGCCCCUCGAUAAUUUUGUUUCGACUUAUGUGUCGGGCCCGGUCAAAACCUAAUUGAUGUGUUCAGUUUAGUUCUAUGUCAAACAAAUCAGAGAUCGAGAAACAACUGUUGGACAAUAAGUACGACAUUGUUCCAUGUAUUUGUCCGGCUGAUAUCUUGAGAACACAGGAUUAUAUGAUCACUUAUCUAAACUGGCACUUCAUAGUUCAAUAGAGUUUUAAAAGAGUUGUGAUUGAUGGUUGGUUCCUGAAGUUGUACUUGCAACUAUAGAAAUCAGACUUAUCCAAGUGGGAAACUAUUGGAUAAGGUAUCUAAGUAUGUAACUAUAGUUGGUAUGAACUUGACCCGACCCAGCAUGGUCCAUUUGGGUUGAACUUCACCUAACAAUUUGUAUGGAUAUAUUUUUGAGAAUAAGAUGUUUAUGAUCCAUUAAUAUAUUAUUAGUUAUAAUAUAUUAAUAUUAUUUAAUAAGUGUUGAUCAAGAAUUAAUUUUGGAAUUAAUUUAGUGAUCAAAAAAGGCUAAUUAAACAUGGACUCUUGCAUAUAUAUGUUGGGUUUUGAGGAUUCUAACACUCCUAAGUGUACAUGCAACCCUAAAUACCUUGGAUUUAUUUUUUCUCUAUUAUACAUGCAAAUAUGAACUUUCCAAGGUAUUCAUCCUAACUAGCAUAAUAAUCAUUGAUUCAUAUGAAUAUAUCAAGUUAGAAUUACAUACCUCUUUGAUGUAGAUUGUCUUCAUGAAGCUUGAGUGCCUAGUGCCCCAAGUGUGACACCUCAAAUGGUUCACACAACACCAAAUAUACAUGGAAUGACUUGAGAGAACAUACACACUUCAUGAAAUCGGCUAGCCCUUUCUAUUACUCAUAGUGGCCGAUUUUCUCCAAGAAUAAGAUCAUUAUAUAGUUAGGGUUACACCAUGUAAACCCUAAUUGUCAUGGCCUUUCAUUUCCAUGAUCCAUGGGUACAAAUACACCAUGGAGCAUCUUAUGGGUUUUAGCCCAACUUGACAAUCCAUGGAGGAUUAGCCCACUAUAUAAGUAUGGAUGAUUUACACAAUCAACCCAUAUAUUUAAUUAGUCUUCUUUUGAUCACUUAAUUAAUCCUAGAUUAAUUCUUGAUCAAUACUAAUUAAAUAAUCUUAUUAAUAUAUUAGAACUUAUAAUAUAUUAACCAACCUUAAGUGUUAUUUCUCUCAUUAUAGUCUAUCCAAAUGCAUGAUGCCAUGCAACCCAAAUGGACCAUGCCAGGUCGGGUCAAGUCUCACCAAUUAUAGUUAUGGACUUAGACAUUAAUCCAACAGUCUCCCACUUGGAUAAGUCUAAAACUAUUAUUGCGUAUGACUUCAAGAACCGACUGGCAAUCGUAUCUCUCAAAAGCUUCUGUCGAACUCUGACCUUGCCGGUGAACUCUGACCCUUGCCAAUGACUUGUCCAUUAGAUAAGGGAUCAUAUAUUCCUCUAUUCUAGAUAUCAUAUGGACUAAUACAUGGAUUAUAAUCAUUCUCUCUGUCCAUUUGUUGUUUCCCGAUUUCCGAUUUAUGACGACUAACUAAUUGAAGAAAUCAAAUCAGUCCAAGCCCGGUCGAGCACUUACAUUUGUCAUCACCAAAUCAUCGAGGGGCCCACAGACAUCGCUUUUAUCCCGAAGGUAAAAGGAAUGGAUAAACUUCGACUCAUAUGGCUUGUUCUACUACUUGUUGAAUCAUACACAAAGGCACGUUUUAUAGCACCGAGUUACCAAAUGCGUUUUCGUGCAAUCAAUGUACUAUCAACUCAUAGUAACAACUCAUAUCUCUAGGUUUGAAGAAUAUAAGAUAUUAUCGUCUCAUGAUCACUCGUGAUAAAAUCCAUGAAGUGAUUCCAAUGAGCGCGGGUUGAAUCCAAUACUCAGAACUUAUGAGCACUCAUGAGUGUUGUAGCCCUUUGUCCAACACCUUAGACCUCUACAAGCCAACCCAUGACAGUCUUAAUUCAUAUCUACUUCCAACAUAUGACCGACUGUGGAUGGUUUGAAUAACUUAGUCAUUCCGGAAGAAUAACCUAGUUUAUUCGGGAAGUCAAAACAUGCAAAGUGAAACACAAUAAUAAUUGAAUCCAAUAUGGUAUCAAAACCUAUGAACAUAAAUAAAACACCUUUUAUUUAUCACCAUAUGAUUACACAUUAUUCAUUGUAUACUGUUUCAGCUAUCAACUUUAUUCUUGAAUUUAAAACAAUAGUUGUCCCAUGCUCCAAGCAUGUACACUAUGUUUUCUAAACACUAGUCAUGCCAUACACCAAGUAUGCAUAUUAUGUGUCACACCCCAAAACCAUGAACGGCGGAAACGUUCUGGGGUGGAGGAUGUCAUGUACAGUAUCACAACAAUGAAUACUAGUAAACAAGCAACAACAUCAUCCAUUGCAUUAAUAAUAUAAUUUCAUACAAGUGUGUUCUGUCAAGUUAUAUAGACACCAAAAUAUACAUAUCAAAAUAAAAGACGAGUCUUGAACAAACUCCAUCUUCUCAAAACCUGGCACCUGUACCUGUCUACUGGUGACCUGAGAAUACAAGUUAUUUUGAAAGCAAGUAUCAGCUUUAAAGCUGGUGAGAUCAUAAGUAUAUUAGUGUCUGUGUUUGUAUGAAAGCAUUUGCAAAAUGUUCAAAAGAUGUUUUGUAAGGUGUUUUGUACUCUCCUAGAAAACCCUAUGGUUUCUACUAAUUGUAGCCUUCUACCAAGGCAUCUAGUGUCUGUGCAUGUGUCUCUUGUAAGAGUGUGUGUGUUUUCCCAAUUCUGACUAUCAUUAACCAAAAAUAUAGUUUUUACAUUACCGUGCAUCGUGUGAAUAUUCACGAAGUGAAUGUAAUGGGAAAAUAUCAUAGUACCGUAGUAUUUGUAAUAAGUGACUAUUGUUGUACUAACUACCUUAAAAACAAAAGGUGUUUAAAGUAACAUGUGAUCGACCUGUAUCCUACUACCGACUCUAGUAAAACGACGGUGUAAGACGUCGUAGGAAAUGACAUUUGGCACCCGUAGACUUGCAAGUCCCACUGUAGCGAGCAGCAAGGUGUAGGAUAGUCAAUCCAGUAUAGAUCUAUACGAAAACUCAUACACUCCCCAAUAAAGGAGAUUUUGGAAACAAAAAUGGUCAUGGCAGGUAGUUCCAUGCCCCGUUUAACGGCUCACAUUACUGCAUGGAUGUACAUGUAAUGAAUGUGCUAACUGUAAAGUGUACUCUUUCUCUGUCUAGCCUGUAUGUACUGUAAUGUUCUGCGUGUGCUAGCUGUAAUGUGUGUUCUCUCUCUAUCUAGCAUGUAUAUUAAUGUACUAUGUGUACUACUCGUACUGACUCAUUGUAUGUUUCAUUGUACUAGUAAUAGUAUUAUUAUCUUCCUGUGCUACCCCUAUGGUAGCUUACUAGUAUUGUAUGAUCAUGUUUGUGAAGCACUUGCUACCCAAAGGUAUGGAACUGGUUGAAAAAACUUUUAUGUCUAUAUAUGUAUACAUAAUAUAUAACUAAUAUUUAGAUGACCUUUGGACGGAUAAGCGAUGCCCUAAAGCCACAUCCCAACGAGGAAAAGGAGAUAAAGCGAGUUGGCCUUCCUAAGCCCUUUAAACAUUGCUUAUAUAAAUAUACAUACAUAGGCAUGCAUUUGAUAAUAAGUAUAAAAGAGUUUAAGUAAAAGUAUUUGACAAGUAAAAGAGUUUGUAAAAUAGUUUGAAGCAAAAUAGUUUGGUAAACAACUUGAACAGUAAGCAAACUAUUGGUUUGGUAGUUAUUAAUCACAUGUGAUUGAUAUAAUAACUAUAAGUAUUCAACUUGUAUUCCNCCCCCCCAUAAAAGCAUUUAAAAACACUUAAAUCAUUGAUUAAGGGGUAUGAACUCACUUGUAGUGAAUGGUUUGGAUGCACAGAUUGUAUAGGAUGCUAAGUGUCAAGGGAAGACUUGAACACACAUGCGGAUCCUAUUUAACAUAUAUGACACAUAUAUGAAUACAAUUAGUGUUUAAAACAAGUAAUUAUUGAAUUGGGACCACCUUAGGGACUAGUAAACACUUAUAUUGAAGUGUUACAACCAUAAGUGAUUGUAUAUAAGGGGUAUUUGGCUACACAAGGGAGUGUAUGGCCAAUACACACACUAUAAGUGUGUGUGCGGCCAGGAGACGUGUGCGGCCAGUAUGUGCGGCCAGUGUGUGUGUGAGGCCGUACACACAUAGUGUUCUUGGUGUUCUUGGUGUUCCUGGUGUUCUUGGCUAAAGAUGCUACCUUUUAUGAAGAUACUCAAGGAGAUUUGGAUGAUACUUGAGAGGAUUUCGGGUCCUAGCUUUGAAUAAGUGUAGAAUGUGUUCAAAAAAGACUAAGUCUUGAAUAUAUAGGGGGCGUGUGUGCGGUUGGUAUGGGUGUGUGGCCGCACACUCUUGUGUGCCGCCGCACACACCUUGUGUUGGUGUGAUUGGCUCAAAUGCAAGGCGAUACACCCAUAAUACUUAUCCCAGGACUCCUACCCUGCUUAUACUAGGCUUUAAACACUCUAUUUGUCUCCAAACAGUGCUAGAAAAUAGCAAGAAAACGAGUUUAACUUUGAUAAGAAUUGAAGAAUGUAAUCUAGAAAUUUUCGGGUCGUCACACUAUGUUUGUCUAUGAUCUUUACUUUGUGAAAGAGAUCAAUUGAACAUAACUCCAAUGAUCCUCUUUUCACAGUCCCAAAUCCUUACUGCAAAUGCAAGAAUUCUAAAUUCAUGCCAUUUACUGAAAUCUGUUAGAUUCUAAACUUAUAUGCAUUGAUCCUCUUGUAAUGAUUAUGCACAAAGUCAGAAAGACUUGACAACAACCAUUACAGAGCAUUCCAAAGGAGAUCAGCUCCUUUGAAACAUCCUUCUUGCAUUAAGUUUCCUAAUCUUACACAGAUUGAAUAAUUUCUAACUUUGAAACAUUUCCAUAUUCCAUUUUGACUAUCACUUCUGAACAAGAGUUGCCUCCUUACAGAUUAUGUCAAUAUGGUCCUUCCAGAGUUAACAUUAUACUUCCAACUGUCCUUGAGCAACCAAUCUUUGGUAAACCUUAGAUUGUCCUCGACAAUUGUUUAAUCCUUUUAGUCAUAUCCAGUUCUAAACCUUUUCCCUUCUUAAUGCCCCAGGCAUUUGGAAAAUUUUAGAACGGAUGAAUAUAGCACAUGUAAUCGAUCCUAUAUCCGAAGCAUAUGGGACACGAUUCAUGAUGUCUCACAUAAAGACUAAACCAGUCUUUUGCUAUAACAUUUCCAUUUCAAUUUGCCAAGUUCUCAUAAUUCAGAUUAUGAAAAGGGAUGCCGUAAUCAUAAUCGAAUUUUAGAACGCAAAUAGUGGACCCAUAUAUUAUAAUUUUUUUAUGUUGAUCCAUUCCAACAUAACAUUCAUAUAUAUACUUGACUAAAUAUGAUUAAAACCUCAAUCUAAGCUUUUAGAUUUGAGAUGAAGUAUAAUUUCCUCUCCCUUAAUUAUAGCAAAACAACUUUUUUUUCAAUUGAAACCUUUUUUUACUAUAAUUAACAUUGCUAACUUGCAACCUUUAUCAUAAUUUCAUGCUCCCACUAACAUGAUGAUUAUUAGCAUAACACUUAUGCUCCCACUAGCUUUGACAUGUACUCAGAAAUCAGCUGACUUUCUUACCAAAGUUCAGAUUUCUGAUACUAGAUUGUUUUGAUAAAACUUUAUCAAAAUCAUACACCUUCCCUUAGAUAGCACACUUGUGUGUCUAAACAAUUAUGAAGAGGGAUGCCGUAAUCAUAAUGGUUAGACCUUUUUUCCACUUCUCACAAGUCCAGGUUAGUGUGCCGGUAAACUACACACGCUCCACUAACGACUUUGAGAAUGCAAAUACCACAAUUGCUAUCUAGCUA